AACCCACUGCCUGCUUCUUUGCUUGGUUGUUGCAGCAGCAGCAGCAGCAAGCAGCAAUAUUACCACAGACCAACAAGCUCUUCUUGCCCUGAAAGAUCAUAUAACUUAUGAUCCGACCAACCUUUUUGCCCAUAAUUGGACCUCGAAUACCUCUGUUUGUAACUGGAUUGGCAUCACUUGUGAUGUCAAUAGCCAUAGAGUCACAACCUUAGAUAUUUCUCAAUUCAAUCUACAAGGCACCGUCCCUCCUCAACUUGGAAACCUCUCUUCACUCACAACACUUAAUCUUAGUCAUAACAAGCUUUCCGGAAGCGUUCCCACCUCCAUCUACACCAUGCAUACACUAAAAUUUCUUGACUUCACUGAUAACCAGCUCUCUGGUUCAGUUUCAUCCUUCGUCUUCAACAUGUCUUCAAUAUUAGACAUUCGUUUGACCAAUAACAGACUUUCUGGUGAGCUUCCGAAAAAUAUUUGCAACUAUCUUCCUUAUUUGAAAGCCCUUUUUUUGGACAAAAACAUGUUGCAUGGCAAAAUUCCUUCUGCUUUAUCAAAGUGCAAACAACUGCAACAAUUAAAUUUGCAGUUCAAUAAUUUAUCCGGUGCAAUACCAAAAGAAAUCGGCAACUUGACCAUGCUCAAAGGGAUAGACCUCGGCUACAACAAACUCCACGGUAUGUUCAUAAUACUAUGUAAAUAUUUUAAUUUCUCACUUGUUAAUUUUCUUGAAUAUCUUAGAUAAGAUUUUGUAAGUGAGAUUUUUUGCAUCUAUGUUAAUUUACCAGGUGAGAUACCCCACGAAAUCGCUAAUCUUCGAAAUCUAGAGGCUUUAGUGCUAGGAAUGAACAACCUAGUUGGUGUGGUAUCAGCUAUAAUCUUCAACAUGUCAUCACUGAAGGUACUUAUCCUCAUCAAUAACUCUCUCUCCGGAAGUCUCCCAUCAAGAAUGGACCUUUCACUUCCAACUAUUGAGCAUCUUAACUUGGCACUUAAUAGAUUUUCUGGAACCAUUCCUAGUUCCAUCACCAAUGCUUCUAAGCUCUCCUUUCUAGAGUUGGGAGGAAACACAUUUUCGGGCUUUAUUCCAAACACAAUUGGAAAUUUAAGAAACCUUGAGUGGCUCGGCUUGGCUAAUAACUCCUUGACAUCUUCAACCUCAAAAUUGAGCUUUCUUUCCUCUUUGGCAAAUUGCAAGAAAUUAAGAUCCUUAAACUUAAUAGGCAAUCCGCUUGACGGCUUCCUUCCAAGUUCAAUAGGUAAUCUUUCCAUGUCUUUGAAAAUACUUCUCAUCGCCAAUUGCAGUAUUAUUGGCAACAUUCCUCGAGCAAUUGGCAAUUUAAGCAACUUGUUGGCCUUGACAUUAGAAGGCAAUAAAUUGACUGGACCAAUUCCAAUUACAUUCGCCCGACUGCAGAAACUCCAAGGUUUAUAUCUUCCAUUCAAUAAGUUGGUAGGUUCAUUCCCAGAUGAGCUUUGCCAUCUAGCUAGGCUGGCUGAAUUGGUCUUACUUGGCAAUAAGCUUUCAGGAUCUAUACCUUCAUGCUUAAGUAAUCUCACUUCUCUAAGAUCUCUCUAUUUAGGGUCCAAUAGGUUUACUUCUGUCAUUCCCUCAACUUUCUGGAGCCUAAAAGACAUCUUGUUCUUUGACUUUUCAUCAAAUUUCUUGGUUGGUCCUCUUUCUUUAGACAUAGGAAAUUUGAAGGUGCUUGUAAGAAUAAAUUUAUCAAAAAAUAACUUAUCCGGUGAUAUCCCAGCCACAAUUGGAGGAUUGAAAGAUCUUCAAAUUAUGGACCUAGCAUAUAAUAGACUGGAAGGCCUAAUUCCUGAAUCAUUUGGUGACUUGAUAAGUUUAGAAGUUUUGAAUUUGUCAAAUAAUAAAAUCUCUGGGUCUAUUCCAACAUCCAUGGAGAAAAUCUUUUACCUCCGAGACUUAAAUCUCUCUUUCAAUAAACUAGAAGGUGAGAUUCCUAGUGGAGGAAUUUUUGCCAACUUCACAGCUGAGUCAUUUAUGGGAAAUGAGUUAUUGUGUGGUUUACCAAAUCUUCAAGUCCAACCAUGCAAAGUUAGCAAGCCGAGGACAGAACAUAAAUCAAGGAAAGAGAUACUUCUCAUUGUGAUUGUUUUGCCAUUGAGUAUUGCUCUAACAAUAGCAAUCACUCUACCUCUCAAAUCUAAGCUGAUCGAAUGUGGAAAAAGAUGCACAGUGUUGUCAAAUGAUAGUGUCUUGUCAUCACAAGCAACACAAAGAAGAUUUUCAUACUUAGAACUUUUACAAGCAACAGAUAAUUUUGCUGAAAACAACAUAAUUGGCAGAGGAGGUUUUGGUUCCGUUUUUGGAGCAAGACUUGAAGAUGGGAUGAAGAUUGCAAUAAAAGUGUUUCACCAGCAAUGUGCAAGCGCAUUGAAGAGUUUUGAGGCUGAAUGUGAAGUGUUAAAAAAUAUUCGCCAUCGAAACCUUAUCAAAGUUAUCAGCAGUUGCUCGAACGAUGACUUCAAAGCAUUAGUCCUAGAAUACAUGUCCAACGGGAGCUUGGAGGAUUGGCUGCAUUCUAGCAAUUACGUGCUGAAUAUAUUUCAUAGGUUGAACAUAAUGAUUGACGUUGCAUCAGCUUUAGAAUAUCUCCACUUCGAUCAUUCAACUCCUAUUAUUCAUUGUGACUUAAAGCCUAGUAAUGUAUUGUUGGACGAAAAUAUGGUUGCUCAUUUGAGUGAUUUUGGCAUAGCAAAGCUUUUAAGUGGAGAAGAUGAGUCUACGAUGCGAACAAAAACCCUUGCCACUAUAGGUUAUAUGGCACCAGGUUUGCUUCAAAUAACUUUUUUUUUUAGUUCAUUUUAAAUUUUGCAACUUAUUGAUUUUUACGAUCCUCACAUCAAAAUUUUAUUGAUUAUUUAUCUAAUUGUGAAAUUAAUUUGAUUCAUAGAGUACGGCAUAGAAGGAGAAGUAUCUACAAAAAGUGAUGUUUACAGCUAUGGGAUUAUGUUGAUGGAAACUUUUACCAAGAAAAAACCCACAGAUGAAAUUUUUGUUGGAGAAUUGAGCUUAAAGCGUUGGGUUAAUGACUUGCUUCCUACUUCAUUAGUGGAAGUUGUGGACAAAACUCUGCUAAGUGGAGAGGAAAAACAUUUUGCAUCAAAGGAGCAAUGUCUGUUGUCUGUCUUUUGUUUGGCUCUGGAGUGUACAAUGGAAUCACCGGAAAAGAGGAUUAAUGCAAAAGAUAUUGUUACCAGAUUACUCAAGAUAAGAGACACAUUGAGUAAAAGGAUAGGAAACUUCAGUUAAUUUCGUUUGCUUUCAUUGAUGGUUAAUUCAAAUUCAUGUAAUAAGUGUAAGAAUCUUAUAUGCUUUCCUUAGAUAUAUAUUUUUUUUUUUGAGAAAACUGUCGUAGUCAUCUUGUUUCCAUGGGCAGAGUUGAUUUAGUUCUUCCAAAAAAUGCUACUGAUGACCUUUGUUUAAUACUCUCUUUUUUUGCAUGUGUUUAGGUAGAACAGUGGUUUGGCUGCAGGCUAAGAAGACUAACUACACUAAAAGAAUAUGAUUUAAUUUAUUAAACAAAACUUCAAGUUCAAGAAAAGUAUUUCACUGCCCCCAAUGCUUUGGACACCUACUGGUAGGUUUGUACGUGUCCUCAACUUUUUUUUGGAGCACAAAAUUCGAGUCCCAUGGAGACUCAAACAUUCCUUUCCCGCAUCCCGAGCACGCUAAAUUCAUCAGACUGACGACUGGGACAUAUACAAGAGUGAAAUGUUUGGAGCACACUAAGUUCGAGUGAAAGAGAUUAAUUUACGGAAACUAAAGCCGAAGGUUCAAAAAAAAGUGCAAAGUGAAUUGAUGCACAAUGUCAUAUUCAUACAGAGAUCAAUUAUAUUAUUUACAGCUGGUAAGGGCUAAGAAUUGAUGUAGCUAGAAUACAAAGAGGAUAAGGUAUGUUGAGCACUAUUGUUUUUAUUCUACAAUCAAUCUUGACCCUUGAUGCUUGGCUCUCAAUCUUGUCCAUUGAUCGUCUCUGAUUUUGGAGACCUCAAGACCUUUCAGUAUCAUGCCUUGUUAUUGGUGUCUUCCGUGCUGUAGAAUUCAUAUACAAGCUUUCCCGCCGACUUGCCAAGUAUUCGUUCAUUGAUGCAUUUUUAUCAAACAGCUGGGCUACUUAUACCAAACACCGCCUGGUUUAACUCCCCCUCUCUAGCUCAACUAUCUGGGAAGACAAUUAAUUGAGAUAUGAAUCAGAAAGUUAAAUUUUAACAAUUAUAUUCGGACUCUACAUUUUGUAAUGAACAUUGGUUUGACUUGUUAUACAUUUAUGCGUACAUAAUUAAUAACCGAUUCUCAAGUGCGGACAUUCAAGAGCACUGCUUAAAGACCAAAUAUUUUGAUUUACUAUUUUUUGUCUUUCAAUUUUCUUUUAAGUUCUGAUGACGUCCGCAUUUUAAAAUCCUGUGGAACAAAGGCCUGAGGUGCAUAUAAAAUUCUUUUAUUUUUCAGAGGAAAAUGGGUGAGAGAAGAAGAUUUGGCAAAAGAAUUGCAACGGCAAUAUGAAACUAGUCUUUGUCUUUUAAUUCUUUUAUAUUUGUUUUUGUUAUUGAUGUUAGCUUGGAUGUGUGCGCGUGUUGUUAACAUAUAUGUUUACAUAAUGUUGAUUUUGAUGAUAACAAACAAAAUUAAGAAUGAUUAAUCUUUUAAGCUCAAAUUAUUUAAUAUUCUUUUUAAAUAAAUCAUUAUUUUCACAUUAUAAAUGUUUCAUAUUUAAUGGAAAAUUGAUUUUAUGAAAUUGGUUGUUUUUCAAAGUUUAUGGUUUAAUUGAAAGAAUUUUGAAAACUUUGAAAUAAACAAGUAUUGCUUGAAAUUUUAGUAAAGGACUUAUUUGAAAAGUGUCUUAGCAUUUUUGGCUAUAUCAUAAUUUCAGAAAGUUUUGGGAUUAACAAAGCAUUACUUAGAAAUUCUGAAAUUGGACCUAUUUGCAAAGUUUCAUAACGUUUUGGGCCUUAAUAUAGUUUUGUAAAGUUUGGGAGUCAAAAUGUAAUUUUAGAAAAUAAUUUCACUGUAGCAUCACUGUAGUAAACGGCUAACCGUUUAUUUAAAACGGCUAACCGAUAAUUUUCAGAAAGCAUAUUUUGCAUAGUAUUGUUAAAAUGAUGAUUCUGAAACAUAACGGUGAACCGUUUACUGAAAACGGUUAACCGAUUAUUUUCAGAUUGCUAACCUUGAACCGUUUAGUAAGAACGGUUAAACCAAAUUUGUUUUGCAGGUCUCUGGAAUUUAACGGCGAAAGGGUAAUACUAAACGAUAAACCGUUUAUUUGAAAAUUGGUCCAACGGUAACUUUGACCAGCCUAAACGGUUAACCGUUAAUGGUUAACGGCGAACCAUUUUCGAGCAGACAGUCUAUAACGGCUAGUUUUUCAGCUCCAACUAUAAAUAAGCUCAAUCCAAUUCAAACAAGAUAAAUUCCAACGAUCAUCAUUGAGCAAAAUAUUGAGAAUACAACUUUCAUUGAGCUUUAAAUCCUUGUAUUCAUCUCAUUCAUUCACACAUUGAGCUUUCACUUGUGAUCAAACACAUUGUGUGAGAGAGAUUCAUUUGAAAUCCUCUUUGUAAAAUCAAGUUAAAAGAUUGUAAGUGUUGGGAUACACUUGAGUUAAGAGAUUGGGGAUAAUCUCUUGUUGUAAAGGUCCAUUGACACCUUGGAAGUCAAUUGUAAGCGUUUGAAGCCUAGGGAGGCUAGCUUAGUGAAAUCCUCAAGCCCAGUGAGCUUGGAGGCGUGGACGUAGGCGGGGUUUGCCGAACCACGUAAAAAUCAUUGUGUUUGUUUUCUCUUCCCUUAGUCUUUUAAUAUUGUGCAUGAUUGAAUUUAUUGUUUUCAAUUUGAUUAAGGCAAUAAAUUAAAUUGUUGUGCGAAUUGUAUUGCAUAAAUUUUAAAAUCCCAAUUCACCCCCCUCUUGGGUUGCCUAGUUAGUAUUUCACGUGUGACUGAAUUCAACUUAUAUUUGUUUUUGUUAUUGUUAUUAAUUUUAUUUGUUUGUGUUAAAUUGGACCACCAAAAAGGGCUGUCCAUUAUCAAAUCAACACGGUUUAAUUAUUAUUAUUUCUACACUUUUUUUAUAAACAAAUAUAAAUAAAAGGAUAUUUACACCCCAAAUUUUAGUGAAAUAGUCAUUAACACUCCUAAAUUUUUAAAAAAAGAUAUCAAGAUCAUUUUUUGAUCUUAAUACUCUCAUACGGUACCUCUAUUAUUCUUAAAAAUUGACUCUAAUGUUUUAUAAUAAAUAAAAAUAAAACAUUAAAAUAAAUGUAAUAACAUAUAAUUUUAAAAUAAUUUCAUUAUUUAAAAAAUAUUUUUAACAUUUUACAAUCUAUUAAAUAUAUUUUAUUAUAUUAAAGUAAUUUUAUAAUAAAUAGAAUCAUAUUAUUAGAAUAAAUGCAUUAAAACUUAAAUUAUUUUGAAUAUCAUGUAAGAUAAUAAUUUUAACAUUACUAGUAUGUCAGUUUUUUUUUAAUUGUAGAAUGUAUUUAGUGCAAAUAUUUAUUUCAAAUCUCUACAAUAAAUAAAAGAUUAAAAUAAAUAUAAUAAUUUACAUAUCUAAAUUUAUUAAAAUAUUUUAAUAUUGUUAGUCUACUGCAUAUAUCACAAUAUUUAUAUAACAUUUGUAUUUAUUAAAAGCUUUAAAAUCAAUUCUUUUGAGAAUAAUAGAGGUAAAGGGUACAAUGGUCAAAAUGGGGACUUUGUACCCUUUUUUGAAAACUUGAAAGUGUUGGUGGUUAUUUUUCCAAACCUUCAGGGUAUAGAUGUCCUUUUUCCACAAAUAUAUGAGAAAAUUAUCAAGAAAUACAGUAUCUGAACUUUGAAGUAACAAGGAUCACCUUUUAUGAAAUCGAUUGCUUUUCAUGAUAGACUGUUACCAUUUUUCUACAAUAGAUUGAAUUUAGUAAAAAAUUGAUUAAGAUGUCUACUCAUGGAGAGUGAAAUUUAUGUUCAAAACUAAUUUCAACAAGCAUGCACCACCGAACGUGUUUCUCACGGAAAAGUUGCUUGGAUUUUUGGGACUUCCUGUUCAAAUAUUCAACACGGCAUGCACCACGCGAUUGAACAUGCAAAAGUAGGGGUCUAUUUUCAUUUCCAGCAUUAUAGAAAUCUUAAUUUUGUUCAUUAGUUAUUUUGAUCAGCACUGUUGAAUCUCCAUGUAUUGCCAAUCACUAAGAAACAACAUAUUCUUAUUAAUUAUAUCCUCUAAUGGAGAGAACUCAUUGUCUCAGUAAGAUCACUGUGUCAUUAACCCACAGCAUGCUGAUUUGCUUGGUUGCUGCAGCAAGCAAAAAUAUUACCACAGAUCAAAAAUCUCUUCUUGCCCCAAAAGAUCACAUAACUUAUGCUCCAACUAAUCUUUUGACCCAAAAUUGGACCUCAAAUACGUCUGUUUGUACGGGGAUUAGCAUCCCUUGUGAUGUCAAUAGCCAUGAAGUCGCAGCCUUGGAUAUUUCUCAAUUCAAUCUACAAGGCACCAUUAUUCCAAACACAACUGGUAAUUUAAGAAACCUUAAGUGGCUCGGCUUGGCUUAUAAACUACUUGACAUCUUCAACUUCAAAAUUGAGCUUUCUUUCCUCUUUGGCAAAUUGCAAAAAAUUAAGAAUCUUAGGCUUACUGGAAAUCCACUUGACCGUAUCCUCUCAGGUUCAAUAGGUAAUCUUUCUAUGUCUUAGGAAAGAUUUCACAUCGCCAAUUGCAGCAUUAGUGGCAGAAUUCCUCAAGUAAUCAGCAAUUUAAGCAACUUGUUGGCUGGUGUGCAAAAUUUUAAUAUACUCGCAAACGCAGGAAUCUAGAAAUAGAAUAAUGGUAACGAGGUCAAACCCACAUGGAUUGUUAUAAAAUGACAAAAGAAUAGCUGCUGGUCUAGAGGUGGCUUACUACAUUCAUACAAGAUCGUUUCUUGUUCUCCAAGAUGUGCAUUAUACUAAUAAUGCUAUACAAACUUAUAUACUGAUCUUAUCCUCUAGAUCUGUUCAGGCUGAGUGAUCUCUCACAUUUGCCAUAUCAGAAGAUUACAUGCCAGUAAUGUCAUGUGAUGACCUGUUGCUUGGUGAUGUCGAAUGCCUGGCCUUUACUUCUCUGAGCAAAUUGAUCAAACAAUCUGUUCAUUUUAUCGAACACCUUCACCAACUAACAUUUAAUUUACUUUUGAUGGUUUUUAAGUGCAUUUAAUGAUUAUUUUUGCUCCAACUUCAGAUAAACCAAACGCUAGUAUAUUAGAAGAAGAAGUUAACUGGCAGCUAACCAGGUCAAAAUAGCGACUCUAUAUAAAAAAUAUAUAUAUAAAAUAAAAAAUAAAAAAUGGGACUUUAUUUAAUUAAUUGUUGGUCUAAAGCUGUUGGUAUCCGUUGGCCACGUUUCUGAAGAGUCAUCUCAAAUCAAAAUUUUUAACGAACAAAGAACUUUGCUUUUUUCCAUUGUUCACAUUGCUGCUGGCUGCCACCCGUGAGAUAAAAGUGCUACAAUCCAAAAUGUUCCACCAUUAUUUAUUCUAAUUUUAAUUUUCCAAUGGAAAAAAUUACAUAAUUAAAAUGGCUUCUAAUAUCAUUUCCACAUCUCAAUAUGUGUCACUAUCAGAAGGUUGUUUUCAUGAUUCAUUGUAAAUUUGGAUUACAGUACCUGUACUUUCUGAUGGUUCAUUAUUUAUUCUCAGGAAUCGAGUCUCCUUACAUUACCAAACUAAUAACAACCAGCAAUCUUUUAUCCUUUCACGGUGAGAAAUCACAGUCUUCGUAUGAUCGCAGUGCCAUUAACCCACUGCCUGCUUCUUUACUUGGUUGUUGCAGUAGCAGCAGCAAGCAACAUUACCACAGGCCAACAAGCUCUUCUUGCCCUGAAAGCUCAUAUAAGUUAUGAUCCAACUAAUCUUUUGGCUCAAAAUUCGACCUCAAAUACCUCUGUUUGUAACUGGAUAGGCAUUACUUGUAAUGUCAAUAGCCAUAGAGUUACAGCCUUGAAUAUUUCCAGCUUGAAUCUACAAGGUACCAUCCCCCCUCAACUUGGAAACCUUUCUUCACUGACAACACUUAAUCUUAGUCAUAACAAGCUUUCCGGCGACAUUCCCCCCUCCAUCUUCACCAUGCAUAAGCUGAAAUUUCUUGAUUUCAGUGAUAAUCAGCUCUCUGGUUCUUUGUCCUCCGUCACCUUCAACUUGUCUUCAGUAUUAGAUAUUCGUUUGGAUAGUGACAAACUCUCUGGUGAACUCCCAGUAAAUAUUUGCAAUUAUCUUCACUAUUUAAAAGUCCUUUUUUUGGCCAAAAACAUGUUUCACGGUCAAAUACCACUGGCUUUAUCCAAGUGCAAACGGCUACAACUGUUAAAUUUGGGGUUCAAUAAAUUAUCAGGAGCCAUACCGAAAGAAAUCAGCAACUUGACUAUACUUCGAAAGAUAUCUCUCAGAAAUAAUAAACUUCGCGGUAUAAAUGUUUAUAAUAUAUACUUUGUAAAUGCUCUUAUUAAUCAUUCUUAAACUUUCUUAGACACUUUUGUCUAAAUAAAUUUCGUAAGAGAGUUUUUUGCAUCUCUGUUAAUUUUGCAGAUGAGAUACCUCACGAAAUUGGGUAUCUUCCAAAUCUAGAGAAUUUGGUGCUUGGAUUCAACAACCUAGUAGGCGUUGCACCUGCUGCAAUCUUCAACAUGUCAACAGUGAAAGAAAUUUACCGGUUAGAUAACUCUCUCUCGGGAAGUUUUUCAUCAGGAAUAGACCUUUCACUUCCUGAACAGAUUUUCUGGAACCAUUCCUAGUUUCAUCACCAACGCAUCUAAACUUGUAUAUCUAGAUAUGGGAACAAACUCUUUUUCGGGCAUUAUUCCGAACACAAUUGGUAAUAAUCUAAGAAAACUUGACUGGCUCGACUUAACAUACAAUUGCUUGACAUCUUUAACUCUAGAAUUGAGUAGUACUAGGUUGUUAAAUGACGGUAUCUUGUCAUCACAAGGAACACUAGGAAGAUUUUCAUACCAAGAUCUUUUUCGUGCAACAGAUAAAUUUAGUAAAGACAAUCUAAUUGACAUAGGAAGUUUUGGUUCUGUUUAUCGAGGAAGACUUCGUGAUGGAAUUGAGGUUGCAAUAAAAGUGUUUCACCAGAAUUUGUGCAAUGGAAUUGAUGAGUUUUGAGGCUGAAUGUGAAGUGAUGAAAAAUAUUCGUCAUCGAAAUCUUGUCAAAAUAAUCAGUAGUUGUUCGAACGAAGAUUUCAAAGCAUUAGUUCUAUAAUAUAUGCCCAAUGGGAGAUUGGAGGAUUGCUUGCAUUCUACCAAUUGUUCGUUAAAUAUUUUUGGCAGGUUGAACAUAAUGAUAGAUGUUGCAUCGGCUUUGGAAUAUCUCCACUUCAAUCAUUCAACUCCUAUCAUUCAUUGCGAUUUAAAGCCUAGUAAUGUAUUGUUAGAUGAAAAUAUGGUUGCUCAUUUGAGAUUUUGGAAUUGGAAGGCUCUUAACUGGAGACAAAUCAAUGAUACAAACAGAAACACUUGCCACAAUUGGUUAUAUGGCACCAGGUUUGCUCUGAAACAAUUUUUUUUUUUUUUUUUUUGGGUUUUCAUUUACACUUUCCAAAUUAUUAUUUUUCCAUGAUCCUUCUAUCCUAAUGUUGUUGAUUAUUUAUCUAAUGAUAAAAUCAAUUUGGUUGAUAGAAUAUGGCAUAGAAGGACGAGUAUCUACUAGAAGUGAUGUUUAUAGCUAUGGAAUUAUGUUAAUAGAAACAUUUACCAGGAAGAAACCCACAGAUGAAAUGUUUACAACAGAAUUGAGCUUGAAGCUUUGGGUUAACAACUUGCUACCUGCUUCAUUGAUGGAAGUUGUGGACAAAACUUUUUAAGUAGGGAAGAAGAAGAUUUUACUGUGAAGGAGCAGUGUGUGUUAUCAAUCCUGAGUUUAGCUAUGAAGUGUGUGAUGGAAAUGCCAGAAAAAAGGAUCAAUGCAAUAGAUAUUGUAACUAAAAUAUUGAAAAUAAGAGAUGUAUUGAGUAAAUGGUUAGCAAAUUUAGGUUAAUCUCAUUUCUUGGCAUUGAAACUUUAACUUGAAUCAAUAUAUACUUAAUUUGAAUCUUUGUAUGAGUGUAAGAAUAUGAUAUAUUUUCCUUUGAUUUUUUUUUUUGAGACAAACAUCGUAGCUAUCUUGUUUCAAAUUAAUUUUAUGCUUUUUUUUUCUUUUUCUAAGAUCAUGCCUAAGAGCCGUAGGAAGAUCAGCUACAAAUUCAAAGCCGGCUAAGGCAUUUGACAAUGGAGAGAUUGUUAGUUUUUUCUCCAUUGAAAUUAAUAUAUAUCACCUAUCCCAACUAUUUUCAUAAUGUCUAAUAACCUCCUGGCACCAUAAUUUUACCAUAUAACCCUUAUUUUUAAAUGCACUUUUAUUUAUAUUAAUAUUAAUUAAAUAAAUCAUAUGAGUUGGAAUUAAAAUUAAAAAAUUAAAGACCAAGAAUAAGAAAUAUACGUUUUAGUGUGCUUAAAAAAUUAAUAUUAAAAUAUUUUUUUUUUGUACUUUUUAUUGUCCAACCAAUGUUGACAUUUGCCUAUAUCAGGUUUUUUAUGUGUACAGUGCAGGUUCAACUUAAGCCAUUAAUAGAACAACUUGAGAGAGCAAAAGUAUUGCAAGUUCUUGAUUUUGAAAUCUCCAAGCAUAGGAAGCCAAAGCAUCUGCUUCUUCUGGGCAUGCUGCAAUGCUGGUUCUAGUUCGAACGUGACCUCUCAGUCAUCUCAAGAAGGGCUAUUCAUUGGGGACAUCGAGGUAACUUUACCCCACCCGGAGGUUUGAUAAUUCAACUUUUUUAAUAGAUUUGUCUAAUACAUUCAAUUUGAUUUUAUUAUGUACAUGUUUGGUUAAUUACCGUGUUCUGUUAAGUUCAAGUCCAGUUGCAAGUCCCAUUUGGUUUUGCAUUGUGUUCGUUCCGCCACUGAAUCCUUCAUAAAAUAGUUUAAGGUUUGGAAGUUGGUUGGAUAAAUAGUGCUAUAAUGGUAGUUACUUUCUUUUAUUUCGUUUGACUUUUCGCUAGUGUAUCACUCCUAGCAUAUAAUUAAUCAAUUCUUCCAGGCAUACCAUGACUUGAUUGUGAUGCUGUGGAUUAUCUAGGACCAUAAGCAUUUGUGUGUUAAUGUAUUAAACUUUUGCCAUACCUUUAACCAAUCUCAUAUGCAAGUAAAUAUGAUCACUUAGAUCAAAUUUCAGUUUAGACUUGAAUUGAAGUUUUAGUGUCCUGUAUGACUGGUCUUUCUCAAUUUUAUCAAACAUAUGUUUCCUUCUGAAAAUAUUAAAGUGGAUUUGAUAGUUUAAGCAAUUUGUGGUUGGAUUUUGGCAGUUUGAAGUUGUAAUUCUGGUACCAAUCAAGACGAGGAAGUGGAUGCCAAGUGUGAAACAACAAGUGGGCAUCUGAAAGUCACGCCACAUUGGAUGAUCCCACAAAAAAUGAAUCUUACAGAGGAACAACAUGGACAGAUUAAGCAGGAGCUAUAAAUGGAUAAAAUUUGAGCAGCUGGAGGAUCCAUAGAUGCCAAUAAACAACCGGAUUAUUCGAACGGACGUACCUCUAAUGGUCUAUCUGGAAAGUCCAGCGGGCAUGAAGUCUAAACGUGAAGUGGAUGAGGAGGAAGAUGAUACUAAUUCUAGAAACUUCAAGAGCUUUCAUUCUCAUGCUUUAUGAAUUUCUUUCUUGCUUCAGAAUUCAAAUGCAAGCUUUCCCUCUCAGUAUUUCUUCAUUGAGACAUUUUUCUCGAACAGGUUUAUACUUGUGUCAAACAUCUUCUGUUAUAACUAGGAAGCCAGUAAGAUUGUUUUUCAAGUACGUUAAGCGGAAACAAUAGGCAAGGCCUUUUGUCAUUAUAUCUACCACUUGAUUUUUUCUGCCCAAGUACUUACUAUUCAAUUCGUUUGUUCCAAUUUUGUCCCUAAUGAAGUGGUCUUAUAUCCCCACAAACUUUGCUCUUCCAUGAAAGACGAGAUUCUGUGCAAGUGCUAUUGCACUCUUGUUGUCACAUAACAACAGAGGAAUAAUUAAACAUACAUGAAUAUGCACUUUAGUAAGCAAGGAUCUUAACCAGCUGAUCAUUUCUGCUGCUACAUGAGACAGGGCUCUGUCUUAUACUUUUGUACUAGAUUUUGAGACCACCUUUUGCUUCUUGGAGCUACAUGAGAUCAGAUUUCUUGCGGGGUAAAAAAAUUCAUGAAAACCCUCAAGUAUUUAUGACAUUUAUAUAAAAAUAGAGUUUGAUUUUUCUUUCAAGUAUGUUCCUACAUUAAUCUCUACUUAAAAACUGAAAUAUCAUUUAAAAAAAUAAUUAUUCUUCCACCUUUAAAAUUCAAUAUUAAAGAGUAAUUUGUCAUUUUUAAUUAGAGUUAGAGGCUUGUUUUAUUAUGUAUAUAAAAUAUUUCUUAGGUGCAAGAACCCUCAUUUUUUUGUGCGGAUAUACUAUUAAACCAUGCAGUUUAAAAGUUGAUUAAAAUGAAUGGUGUAAUAGUGUGUCCAUAUAAAAAAAAAAAAAACAUAAUAAGGGCAUUGGCAUUAAAGAACAUAUAUAUUAUCCCAAUUAGGGAUCCCUAACCAUAUUAAAGUCAGGGGACAAGUUAAAAACAAAAAACAAAAACUUCAAUGUAUUUUGUCAUAUAAUGUAUUAAAAUCUGUAUUUUCUUUUAUCUUUUAGUUUAUCCCUAUUUUAAUAUGGUUAAAGAUUCGUAAUUGGAAACCCACUCUAAUUAUCUAUGUAUUUCUUAUUUUUAAUACAUUCGCACAAAUAUUUAUAUACAAUAAAUGUAUUACUUAGCCCUGCCUGAUAAAAGAUCCCGGGUCCGGCUCUGAAGGAAGAUGCAAUAUCCUCCUGCUGACGCUUCAUUAACCUUUUUCCUUUCAUUUUAAACUUUCUGAAUUAUUGCCUUUCGUAAUUCUCAUAUCAUGCAUUGAGUAUUUAUCUAACUAUGAAAUUAAUUUGAUUAAUAGAGUAUGGCAUAGAAGGACGGGUAUCUAUUAAAAGUGAUGUCGUUGCGGAAUUGAGCUUGAAGUAAGUUUUGGAUAAAUCUGCCGUAAAGAAGCAAUGUGUGCUGUCUAUCUUGAGUUUUGGAUUAAUCUCCUUAUCAUUUGUUAUCUUACUUAAUUAUAGCACUAUAUGAUAUUAUUAUACACUAUUUACAGUUUUCUGUGUUUUUUUUUUUUUUCUAAUUACUAACAUAUGAAACUCUAUUGCCUGGGAAAUUCAAGGAAUUUUGUUUGUGUAUAAUUAAUCAUUUCUUUUUUGGGAUUAAUUUAUAAUUAAUUUUGCAGAUACCAAGUAUCUAGAAAGAGCAGGACCCAGCAAGACCGGGUAAUAGAUAUAUAGAGAGAGACUUUGCAAUUGGUAAAUAUUAAGAGUGGCAGCAAUUAAAGUUGAUUAAUAUGCUAGUAUAAUAUUAGUAUUGACAUUAGGCAGAGACGGAGACUUUAGUGAAUAUUAUUGCUAUAUGAGUAAUUUUUGUAUAUGAGCGUGGCUAAUUACAAUUUCCAAAUCUCUGCGGGUUACUGAAAAUUUAAGUGCCUUGCAUAUGACUAUUAACCCAGUUUUUCAUGCUCGCUCGAAGCAUAUUGAAUUAGAUUAUCACUUCAUUUGAGAAAAAGGUUGCUGAUGGUGCCUUGGUUACGAAGUUUGUCCCUUCUUCGUUACAAAUUGCAGAUGUUUUUACUAAGGCUUUGUCAAAAGCCAUGUUCCGCAAUUUCAGAUACAAGCUUGGCGUUCAUCAAAUGUCACUUGCCAGCUUGAGGGGGGAUGUUAAGCAAGCUGACCAAGAUUACUAAAAGGAAAGUCAUCAACGGUCAAGUCAACAACGGGUUUAUCACUCCACACAACUUGCUCACGUCAAAGCUAUUUGUCAAGGAAUAUCUCCAGCACGAUUUUUGCACUUGAAUGCCAAUAUCAUGUAGGAAUAUUUCAUUCCUAUUUUAUAAAGAUAUUGUGCAAUAGUUUAGGAAGUAUUCACUUAUUUUCCUUUAAUAUUAUUAAGCCUUUUAACGGCUACUUUGUCUUUAUUUUGUAUAAAUAAUUCUGUAAAUUUCAUUAAAAAUAUAGAACAAGAAUUAUACUCUUCAUAGAAUUUCUUUCACUAAAUUCAUCAGCCUCUUGAACCCUCUCCUGAGGGCACCUUCUGUCCUCUGUUUUCUGUUACCAUACACUAACAGACAAAAGCAUUCAGAAUGACAACUGGGACAUAUAUAAGAGUGAAAUAAUUGAAAAAUUAUGCUUUUUUGUUUGUCAUGUUAAAAUCGUAAAGUGCGUAAGUACUAUGAAAGAGAUUAGUUUACGGAAACUGAAGCCAAGGGUUAAAAAAAAAAAAGGUGCAAAGAGAAUAAAGGGCAACGCUUAUGUAAAGAGACAUAAUUGUAUUGGUAGCACAAUGUCACGUUCAUACAGGGAUCAAGCAUAUUAUUUACAGGUGGUAAGGGCUAAGAAUUGAUGUAGCUAGAAUACAAAGGUGAUAAGGUAUGUUGUGCACUAUUUAUUUAUUCUACAAUCAAUCUUGACCAUUGAUGCUUGGAUCUCAAUCUUGUCCAUUGAUCUUCUCUGAUCUCGAAAACUUCAAGACCUUUCAAUCUUAUGCCUUAUUAUUGGUGUCUUCCAUGCUGUAGAUUUCAAAUACAAGGUUUCCCGCCAACUUGCCAAGUAUUUGUCCAUUGGUGCAUUUUAUCAAACAGUUUGAUACUUAUACCAAACGCCUUCUGUUUUAACUCCCCCUCUCAAGCUCAACUAUCUGGGAAGACAUUAAUAAACUUGUUUCUCAAGUAUAUGUAUCUGAAAAUGAAAUUUUAAAAAUUAUAUUCGGACUCUACAUUUUCUAAUGAACAUUGGUUUGGCUUAUAAGCUUAUUAUACUCAGGCUUGGUGGGAUUAUCGGUCGGUAGAUGACCGAGUGUUAGAGCUUUCGAAUUUAUGCCAAUUAAAAAAAAAAAAAAAAGAAUCUACAUAAAGUUUCAACUAGGCUACUACCACAAUAAACAUUUGGAUCAACUAUUAUUGAAACCUUAUUGAGAAGUGGGACAUGUCGCAUACCAAUGCACUGACAUAUCUUCAAAUAGUGGUAACUCCACACAGCAUGGCACAAUAAAUUAAGAGUUAUAUAGAUAAAAUCUUUCACUCUUUGGUAAUCAUCAAUUUCACUAUUAUUCGGUUUAUUAUGUUUGUUUCUUUCAGUAUGUUAAAAGAUUAUGUUGUGAAUUUGUUUUACAGGCUGCCCGUAAGUCUGCGCCCACCACCGGUGGUGUUAAGAAGCCUCAUCGUUACCGUCCUGGAACCGUCGCCCUUCGGUUUGUUCUCUAAUUUAAAUUUCCGUUGUAUAGCUUUAGUUGUUCUUGUCUAAUUUUGUGGGUAAUUUUGUAUAGAGAAAUUCGCAAGUACCAGAAGAGUACCGAACUGCUUAUCAGGAAACUCCCAUUCCAGGGACUUGUUCGUGAAAUUGCUCAGGACUUCAAGGUACCUUGUUAUCGUUUUGGUUGUUAUCUUUGUUAUCUUUAAAUUGGGUUCCCAAGAUUUCUUGAUAGACGGUUAAUGGCUAUUUUGUUGUCUGUUUUGCAGACUGAUCUGCGUUUCCAGAGCCAUGCAGUGCUGGCCCUGCAGGAGGCAGCCGAGGCUUAGGGCAUCUCCAAUGUAGCACUAAACCUAACACCAAAUCAUCUUUUACAUCAUUUUUGGUGUAAAAUGCUUCUCCAAUGUAACACCAAAAUGGUGCAAUGAAUAGUAUUGCACCAAAUAUGGUGCAAUACUAUUCAUUUGCACCAUAUUUGGUGCUAGGAAAAAAAGUCUCAAGUAUCCUUAUUACUUUAUCUUAUUUACAUAUAUGUCAUAUUUUAUAUAAUAUUUUAAGUUAUUAUUAUUAUUGUUAUUUUUUAAUUUCAUUUUUUAAUUUUUGAAUAUUUUAAAUAAAAAAUAUUCAACACAAAAAUUUAUAAUAAAAAUAAAAUGCCAAUAACAUUAAUUACUAGAUUACAUAUUACAAAAUUAAAAAUACAAAAUUAAAUUAACACAAAUUAAAAAAGCUACUACUACUAGCAUAAAUUAAAACAAUUAUUUAGUAAUGUGGGAGAUCAUUAUUAGAUUCUCCAAUAUCAUCAAAAUAUUUUUCUAUAUUAAUGUAAUGUUUAAUUUUCAUAAUGCACUUAUUAUUGUUAUUGUAUUUUUCUAUAUUAAUGUAAUGUUUAAUUUUUAUAAUGUACUAAUUUAGUUAAUUAAAUGCAAUAUUUAUUAAUUUUCUAUUUUUUUGUUAAUCGAUAUAAAAUUACUUAUUACUUAAUUAUCUAUAUUAAUAGUAAUAUUUAUUGUGUUAAUUGAAUUAAUUCUUGAGAAUUAAAAGAAUAAAAAGAAAAAUAUUCUUUUUGAUGUAAAAUUUGGUGUAAAUGGGUUGGAGAUGAAAUAAUAAUUUAGUGUGAAAAAGGUUCAUUUUUAGUGUUGGUGUUACACCAAAAUGAUGUUAUGCAUUGGAGAUGGCCUUACCUCGUCGGUCACUUUGAGGACACCAAUUGAAUGACUGGAAAGGGAAGGGGGAAGUUGUAAUGUGUUAAUUUGUAUGUGGGGUUCGUGGGGACGACGUCGCUUUUUCUUAGAUAUUUUUUUUCUUUUUCCUCCCUUAAAAACAGUGAAAUUACUUAUACUGGUUUUUCUAUUUUACAUUUUGAAUAUUAUUAAUUAAUAUAAUUUAAGAUAACAAUCAGGGAUAAAACAAUCAUUUUUUAUUCAAGAUCAUUUUAUCAAUAUUCUGUUAAAUAUUCUCACAAUUUAACUUUAUCCUUAACAAAAAUUUAACUUUUUUUUUUAAACUAACGGAACCAAAUUCUAUAUAUAAAUGUAUAGUACGCAUUAAUAAAUAAAUAAAACUUUGACGACCGGAGGGAAUGAAUAAAUAAAUAGAUAAAACUUUCGAAGCUCGUGAAUGUGCUAUUUUGGUUUUUUUUUUUUAGUAAUUGUUUAAUUGAAAAAAGAAAGCUUCGGGAUUUAUUUUUGACGGGACGGCUGAGAUUUGUUGACCUUCUAGAGAAUGAGAACAGAUUUUCAAUUUGUUGAUUAGUAUUCCUACAGUCCAGCCCAAAAGUACCGGCUCAAUGAGUUCGGUCAUGUUUGGUAACAGGUAUCCAUCACUUUCAAAAUCCGGUCCUACCAACGUAUCGGCUUUUACUGGCUGUCGUAUCAUCCGUGAAUGCAUGGGAGAGUGAGACUACUCCAAUCUCCACGACAGAAAUUUUAGAAUAUAUCUAUUGUAUUAUAAUUAAUUGAUACAUAUAUGACAUGUAUAAUUGAGUAUAAUAUAACCACUAUUUAUAUAAUAAUUUAUAAAAUAAAUGCACACAUAUUAUGACAUUAUUUACUUGUUAUAUGGAUAAUAAAUGCACACAUGUCAUCAGUCUUUGGUAAACAAAUUCACAAUAUAUAUUAAUCUUUGUGGAAGCUAUGUCCAAAAAAUAAAUAUUGUAAAAAAAUUUUAAUUAAUAAUUUUUUGGACAUUAAUAAAAAAAAUUAAUAUAUUAACUCCUCAUGGAGUAUUCAAAACAAUUGAUAUAAAUUUUGUUGUUUCUAUUUUACUUUUUUGGUUUAAAUUGACAAUUUAAUUUUUCUUUUUAUUAAUGUCCAAUAAAAAAGAAAUAUUAUUGUACGAGUGUAAUACUGUAAAAACAAGUCAAAAAGAAUAAAAAGUAACAAUUAGGGUGUCAAUACUUAACAACAAAGAUGUUUUGAGAUAUUUUUAAAAAUAUAAGGAUUAAACGAGAUUUUACCAUUAUUAAUUAUAGUCAUCUUUUUAUAAAUUACAAUUAGAGGAAGUUGGUUAAUGUUGUUGACACGCACGCACACAUAAAGAUUUAUUGGAAGUGCUUAUGCCGACUCGAAGUUGUUGGGAAUUAAUGCAUGUAUUGAUUUAUUGGGAGUGUUUAAAUGAUUUUGUGAUUUACUUGAUUGAUUGAAUAUUGUUUGAUUGCUUCAUAUCCAUUCUACAAAGUUUAUUUCUUUGUGAAAUUUCAACGACAUAUUUUUAAAAAAUAAUAAUAAUAAGGGUGUUCUAAAUCAUUUUAAAAAAUAUAUGGACUUAUUAGAAUUAAUUACUAGGUAAUUAACUUGAUCUGUACAGGGUGAAACAACAUUUAUCCUAAUUGUAUCAUGACAAAUACUUUUCCGAUUAGAAUUAGGAAACCAUAGGUUUAUUGAAUUAUUUUUUUUUAUUUUCGUUUGGAGAAACGGAUUAGAGAAUUAGAAAACAAUCCUAAUGAUAUAAUUAUCAGGUUUAAAACAGUGCAUAAACAGUGAAAAGCUAAUUAGUCUGUAGAGUAAUUUGCUAAUUGUUAUCUCCUCUCUAUGCGCGCUGAAUAAUUUGUUGCAUGCAAACUUUUUAUUUUAUGCAAAUCGUACUUACUGUAACAUUGGAAUUGAUGUAUAAGCAAAAUUACAAUAAUAUUUAUGUCAAUAAAAAUAGUUUUUUUUUCCUUUUUAAAUAAACACAACGCGAUGUUGCUCUGCUCUACAUUUUUGCUAUCUCUUUAUUCUUUUUUUUUUUUUGGGCUUCUUAAAGCCUCAAACUUUGAUAACCAAAACUUCAUCGACCUAUGAAAAAAUCUGCAGAUUAGUUUUUAUUAUCGGAAUAAUUGUUUGAGAAUACGAAAACAAAAUAUAAAAUAAGAAAAUAGGGGGUUAAAUUAGAGGGGGAAAAAAAGGCAUGUUCUAUCGAUUACUAUAGUUUAAGGGAAAAAAAAUCAAUUGGGGAUUUUUUUUCUUUAAUUUUUGUUUUACUUGAUGGAGAUUUCUCCUUAGUCCUUACAGUUUUAAGUUUGGAUGCCGUAGGGUUAGUAAUUUAGUACUUCCUUUGCAAGCUGAGUGUAAGAAUGAAAAUCUUUAAAGAAAUUAAAAAAGAAAAAAAUAAAAAAAGCAUACCAAUAGGCAAUUAUAAAUAACCAUAAAUAAACAUAAACAAAAUGUUUAUGAAGUAAAUUACACAUGCACAUAUUAUUUUCUUGUUUUAUUUCUUACUUGUCUAUUUUAUUUGCUGCUUGAUAACCCUUAAAUACUAAUCUAGUACUGCUAAUUUCAGACACAAAAUGUUUAACUCUAGGCUGCAGUUUUACUCAAAAUGAUGACCACUGGCUUCGCACCAUUUAACCAGCAUACAUUUCUACAAAGGGAAAAGGACAUUCAACCCCCCAACGUUUAGGAAAAUGGACAAAAAACCCUUCAACGUUUCAAAAAGGACUUAUAACCCUCUUUCUGUUAACAAACACCGUUUGUUUUAACAGUAAAUUUAUUUUUAAUUUUUAAUUACUAUUAUACCCUUAUAAUAAAAAAAUUAAUGUAUUAAUUUGAGAUAUAUCACAAUUAAUAAUUUUUUAAAAGCUUAAAAUUAAGAUACAAUUAUUUUUUUGCCAAAAUUAUUUACUAUAAAUUAUACCUUUCUAACAAUAAUAAUAUCGUUUUGAUUCCUCAAAGAAAAAGAGUUUAAUCAAAUUUCGUUUUAUUAGUAAUAAUCACAUAUGAAAGAUUUUAUCAUUAGAAACGUAUAAUUUAUAGCAAAUAAUUUGGGCAAAAAUGUAAUUGUAUCUCAAUUUUUAGUUUUAAAAAAAUUAUUAAUUGUGACAUGUCUCAAAUCAAUAUAUUAAUUUAUAUUUAUUAUAAGGGUAUAAUAGUAAUUAAAAAUUAAAAAUAAAUUUACUGUUAAAACAAACGGUAUUUAUUAACGGAAAGAGGGUUAUAAGUCCUUUUUAAAAUAUUGAGGGGUUUUUUGUCCCUUUUCCUAAACGUUGGGGGGUUGAACGUCCUUUUCCCUUCUACAAAUUGAACAAGGCUAUUAAUUUUCAUUAUUAUUUUUUAUUUAUUUAUAAAUUACUAUUUUAAUUUUCACUUUUUAUUGGGUUGUUUAACGGAUUAGUGAAGUUGGUGGUCGUGAUGCACUCACAAGGUACAAUUUUAUUUUAUAAUUUCGAAUUUGUAUUUUAAAAUGCAGGAACAUUAUGUAUACAUAAUUAUUGAUUUUCGUAUGUGGAUGUUUUGAAAUAUUGCUAAAAGACCAAACUUUAAUAAACUAUUUUUCAUCUUUUUUUUCCUAAAGUUUGAGUGAUAUCCGCAUUUUAAAUUCAUCUGGAACAAAAGCUAAUGUAUGCACAAAAUUCUUUUAUUUUUUCCGAGAAAAAUGGGUAAGAGAAGAAGAUUUUUCUCUUGAAAAAGAAAAACUAAUACGAUGCAAGCAUAGGAAAGAGGUCAAUGUUUUGGAUUAGAAUUUAGUAUUGAGCUGAAUUUUAUACUAAACUCUUUUAUAGUACUGCGAUUAAUAAACUCAUGAUUUGCUUUUGCUUUUACUUCAAGUGAAAGAAAGAGGAAACCUUUUGUUUUUUGUUUGAUUCUUGACUAUAGAUGUUACCUAUAUAGAGAGUUGAGGUAGCUACCUUAAGUGAUGGUGAUAAAAAGAUUAAGCAGCGCACACAAUCUUACUGUCGUCCAGACCAUCCAGCUGUGAUGACUCUAGUUUUUUGGGUUACAUUAGCUUUAGUGGAAAGGAGGGCCAAUUUAACAAAGACUAGAUUUGGUGGCUUACUAUAAUGCUUAUUCUCAGGGAAUCUAAUGUUAUAAGAUGAUUUAAUGAUCUUCUAUGAUUGUGAGUAGUAUAGUAUAAUUGAAAAGAGCCUGGGCUCCUAUGAUGAAUAUAUAAUAGUAACACAGUACUGUGAUUGAAAAAAACACAGUUACAAUAAACUCUUCAUUUAUUCAUUGCGGAGAUUGAAUGGCAAAGAGAGAAUAAAAUGAAGCAGAGGAAUCUCAUUGCCAGUAAAAUUGAUCCUCUUUAAUGUUAUAUGGCACAGGUGUGUGUACAGCAAGAGCAAGUUACUUGCAGUUUUUAUUGUAAAAUAUACAGGUUAUGACCAUGAUCAUUGUAGUUAGGUUUUGAUGAUUUUAGAUGCUUUUUUUUUAUUUUUUUAAAUUGUGACACCUUUGAUUUAUGGUAGUUUUGCAGAAGAAAAAAAUAUAUAUAAAAAUUAGGAGGGAUGAGUUAACUAACGAUUGCAAUCAUUACAGUAAUGUUGAUGAGUGAUACAUCAUUUGAAAUUUACUUGUCAGUUGCUGAAAUGAUGAAAAAAAACAAUAAACAAUAGCAGUAAUAUUUUUAUGGAAAUUCUUGGUUUUUAUGGAAAUACUCUUGCUGAAAUUCUAAUUUUGACUUUCAACUCUUGGUUUUUAUGGAAAGUAAAAUGACUUGUUUGUUAUAUUCAUACAACCCACUCUACAUAAUGAUUUCAUUUUAAUAAAUGGUUGAUGAUCUCCACAGAAAAACUACUUCAAUUCUUUUUUUUUUUAUUUAACUUUUUGGUUGUUGAAAAUAGCCUUAAUUUUCAAAUCAUUGGAGAAAGAGUAAAGAACAUUUAACAAAUUUAUGUGCCAAAAAUAAAGGAGAAAUUGAAGAGAAAGGGUGCUUGCAGAAGUGGGUGCAAAGAUAAAUCAGUCCAUAAGAAUUAUUGUGGUUAUUAAUUUUUUGGCAAUAUAAAAAUUUUUCAGCAAAUAAAAAUUGAAUUUUCCGAUUUACUAAAAAAUCAAUUAAAAACUUCGGCGAUAGCAUUUUUUAUGGGUGCAUGUACCCUCCCUUUAAAAAAAAAUAAUAAUUAAUACUUAAUAUAGUAUUAAAUACGAAAAUAUCAAUAUUUGACUACACAAAUUUAUAUCAUUAGGUCCUUAAAAUUUAAAAUUGAAGACACAAAAUGAAAUAUAUAUAAAUUUCAUUCUCAUAGGAAAGGAUCCUCUUAUAAUCUUAAAAUAUUUGAGCUUUGAAAGAUUUUUUAAAACAAAUGUACUUUUAUUUUUGUACAAUCAAUAAUUACUUAUUUAUUAUAUUUUUAUUCAUUAACUAUCAAUCAUGUGAGUAUAUCUACUCAGAAAUAUCAUAUCAAGGGAGAAUCUUGAUCCCACGCACACGCAAAUAUGUUAAUUUCUAUACGCUUCACUUACCUGUAGAAUCAAUUAUCUAAAAUGCAAGUUUGUGGCCACAAAAAAAGCCAAAGAAAGAAGAUAAUAACAAUUGACUUGUAUAUUAUACUCAUACAAUCCACUCGACAUAAUGAUAUCAUUUUAAUAAGGCAAUGGCUGAUGAUCUCCAUUGAAAAACUAAUUCAAUUUUUUGCUUCAUUUAACUUGUUGGUUGUUGAAAAUAACCUUAAUUAUCAAAUAAUUGGAGAAAGAGUAAAGAACAUUUAACAAAUUUAUGUGCAAAAAAAAAAAAAAGAAAGGAGAAGUUGAAGAGAAAGGGUGCUUGCAGAAGUGGGUGUCAAAGAAAAAUCAGUCCAUAAUAAUUAUUGCCGUUAUUUUUUGGCAAUAUAAAAUUUUUAUAGCAAGUAAAAAUUAAUUUUUUUCCAAUUUACUAAAAACUUCUGCGACAGCAUUUUUUAUGGGUGCUUAUACCAUCCCUUUAAAAAAAAUAAUAAUAAUUUAAUGCUUAAUAUAGUAUUAAAUACGAAAAUAUCAAUAUUUGACUACUCAAAUUUAUAUCAUUAGGUCCUUAAAAUUUAAAAUUGAAGAUACGAAAGGAAAUAUAUAUAAAUUUCAUUCUCAUGGAAAGGAUUCUCUUAUAAUCUUAUAAUAUUUGAGUUCUGAUUUUUUUUUUAAACAAAUGUAAUUUUAUUUGUGCACAAUCAGUAUUUACUUAUUUAUUAUAUUUUAAUUUAUUAACUAUCAAUCAUGUAAGUAUAUUUAGUCAGAAAAAUUAUAUCAAGAGAGAAUCCUAAUUUCACGCAAACACAAAUAUAAGACAAAUAUGUCAAUUUCUAUACUAUUCACUUCCUGUAGAAUCAAUUAUCUAAAAUGCAAGUUUGUGGCUACAGAAAACUCGCCAAAGAAAGAAGAUAAUAACAAUUGAGCAUUGAUAGCAAAACUAAUGCAUCAUUUUAUUCUUGACUUGAUGAGAUGGUGGCAUUACAAAAAAAACAAGUACCUUAAUUGACGGGCACUGAGUGAUGUGAAUACUACCAGCCAGUUCAUCUCUUCCAGUCUUGCUUAAUCACAAUCACAAACACCACGAGAUCGACAUUUGCAUUAUAUAUAUCUUCAGCAAUCGAAACACCUUGCAUUACCAAAUUAACCAGUAACAAACAAAGCAAUCUUUCAUGGAGAGAAACCUUAGUCUCAGUAUGAUCACUGUGUCAUUAACCCACUGCCUGCUUCUUUGCUUGGUUGUUGCAGCAGCAGCAGCAGCAAGCAACAAUAUUACCACAGACCAACAAGCUCUUCUUGCCCUGAAAGAUCAUAUAACUUAUGAUCCAACCAACCUUUUUGCCCAUAAUUGGACCUCGAAUACCUCUGUUUGUACCUGGAUUGGCAUCACUUGUGAUGUCAAUAGCCAUAGAGUCACAGCCUUAGAUAUUUCUCAAUUCAAUCUACAAGGCACCAUCCCUCCUCAACUCGGAAACCUCUCUUCACUCACAACGCUUAAUCUUAGUCAUAACAGGCUUUCUGGAAACGUUCCCUCCUCCAUCUACACAAUGCAUACGCUAAAAUUUCUUGACUUCACUGAUAACCAGCUCUCUGGUUCAGUGUCUUCCUUCGUCUUCAACAUGUCUUCAAUAGUAGACAUUCGUUUGACCAAUAACAGACUUUCUGGUGAGCUUCCGAAAACUAUUUGCAACUAUCUUCCUCAUUUGAAAGCCCUUUUUUUGGACAAAAACAUGUUUCAUGGCAAAUUUCCUUCUGCUUUAUCAAAGUGCAAACAACUGCAACAAUUAAAUUUGCAGUUCAAUAAUUUAUCCGGUGCAAUACCAAAAGAAAUCGGCAACUUGACUAUGCUCAAAUGGAUAGACCUCGGCUACAACAAACUCCACGGUAUGUCCAUAAUAAUAUGUAAAUAUUUUAAUUUCUCACUUGUUAUUUUUCUUGAAUACUUUAGAUAAGAUUUGUAAGGGAGAUUUUUUUGCAUCUGUGUUAAUUUGCUAGGUGAGAUACCCCACGAAAUCGCUCAUCUUCGAAAUCUAGAGGAUUUAGUGCUUGGAAUGAACAACCUAGUUGGUGUGGUAUCAGCUACAAUCUUCAACAUGUCAACACUGAAGGUAAUUAUUCUCGCAAAUAACUCUCUCUCCGGAAGUCUUCCAUCAAGAAUAGACCUUUCACUUCCAACUAUUGAGCAUCUUAGCUUGGCACUUAAUAGAUUUUCUGGAACCAUUCCUAGUUCCAUCACCAAUGCUUCUAAGCUCACCUUGCUAGAAUUGGGAGGAAACACAUUUUCAGGCUUUAUUCCAAAUACAGUUGGUAAUUUAAGAAACCUUGAGAGACUCGGCUUGGCUAAUAACUCCUUGACAUCUUCCACCUCAAGAUUGAGUUUUCUUUCCUCUUUGGCAAAUUGCAAGAAAUUAAGAUCCUUAAACUUAAAUGGAAAUCCACUUGACGGCUUCCUUCCAAGUUCAAUAGGUAAUCUUUCCAUGUCUUUGAAAAUACUUCUCAUCGCCAAUUGCAGUAUUAUUGGCAACAUUCCUCCAGCAAUUAGCAAUUUAAGCAACUUGUUGGCCUUAGUAUUAGACCGCAAUAAAUUGACUGGACCAAUUCCAAUUACAUUCGGCCGACUGCAGAAACUCCAAGGCUUAUAUCUUGCAUCCAAUAAGUUGGUAGGUUCAUUCCCAGAUGAGCUUUGCCAUCUAGCUAGGCUGGCUGAAUUGGUCUUAUUGGGCAAUAAGCUUUCAGGAUCUAUACCUUCAUGCUUAAGUAACCUCACUUCUCUGAGAUCUCUCUACUUAGGGUCCAAUAGGUUUACUUCUGUUAUUCCCUCAACCUUCUGGAGCCUAAAAGACAUCUUGUUCUUUGACUUUUCAUCAAAUUUCUUUGUUGGUACUCUUUCUUUCGACAUAGGUAAUUUGAAGGUGCUUCUAGGAAUAAAUUUAUCAGAAAAUAACUUAUCGGGUGAUAUCCCAGCCACAAUUGGAGGAUUAAAAAACCUUCAAAUUAUGGACCUAGCAUAUAAUAGAUUGGAAGGGCAAAUUCCUGAAUCAUUUGGUGACUUGACAAGUUUGGAGUUUUUGAAUUUGUCAAAUAAUAAAAUCUCUGGGUCUAUUCCAACAUCCAUGGAGAAACUGUUUUUCCUCCGAGUGUUAAAUCUCUCUUUCAAUAAACUAGAAGGUGAGAUUCCUAGUGGAGGAAUUUUUGCCAACUUCACGGCUGAGUCAUUUAUGGGAAAUGAGUUAUUGUGUGGUUUACCAAAUCUUCAAGUCCAACCAUGCAAAGUUAGCAAGCCGAGGAAAGAACAUAAAUCAAGGAAAAAGAUACUUCUCAUUGUGAUUGUUUUGCCAUUGAUUAUUGCUCUAACAAUAGCAAUCACUCUAGCUCUCAAAUCUAAGCGGAUUGAAUGUGGAAAAAGAAGCACAGUGUUGUCAAAUGAUAGUGUCUUGUCAUCACAAGCAACACUAAGAAGAUUUUCAUACUUAGAACUUUUACGAGCAACAGAUAAUUUUGCUGAAAACAACAUAAUUGGCAGAGGAGGUUUUGGUUCUGUUUAUAGAGCAAGACUUGAAGAUGGGAUGAAGAUUGCAAUAAAAGUGUUUCAUCAGCAAUGUACAAGCGCAUUGAAGAGUUUUGAAGUUGAAUGUGAAGUGUUAAAAAAUAUUCGCCAUCGAAACCUUCUCAAAGUUAUCAGCAGUUGUUCGAACCAUGACUUCAAAGCAUUAGUCCUAGAAUACAUGUCCAACGGGAGCUUGGGGGAUUGGCUGCAUUCGAGCAAUUAUGUGCUGAAUAUAUUUCAGAGGUUGAACAUAAUGAUUGACGUUGCAUCAGCUUUAGAAUAUCUCCACUUCGAUCAUUCAACUCCUAUUAUUCAUUGUGACUUAAAGCCUAGUAAUGUAUUGUUGGACGAAAAUAUGGUUGCUCAUUUGAGUGAUUUUGGCAUAGCAAAGCUUUUAAGUGGAGAGGAUGAGUCUACGAUGCGAACAAAAACCCUUGCCACUAUAGGUUAUAUGGCACCAGGUUUGCUUCGAACAACUUUUUUUUUUUAGUUCAUUUUAAAUUUUGCAACUUAUUGAUUUUUACGAUCCUCACAUCAAAAUGUUAUUGAUUAUUUAUCUAAUUGUGAAAUUAAUUUGAUUCAUAGAGUACGGCAUAGAAGGAGAAGUAUCUACAAAAAGUGAUGUUUACAGCUAUGGGAUUAUGUUGAUGGAAACUUUUACCAAGAAAAAACCCACAGAUGAAAUUUUUGUUGCAGAAUUGAGCUUAAAACGUUGGGUUAAUGACUUGCUUCCUACUUCAUUAGUGGAAGUUGUGGACAAAACUCUGCUAAGUGGAGAGGAAAAACAUUUUGCAUCAAAGGAGCAAUGUCUGUUGUCUAUCUUUAGUUUGGCUCUGGAGUGUACAAUGGAAUCACCGGAAAAGAGGAUCAAUGCAAAAGAUAUUGUUACCAGAUUACUCAAGAUAAGAGACACAUUGAGUAAAAGGAUAGGAAACUUAAGUUAAUUUCGUUUGCUUUCAUUGAUAGUUAAUUCGAAUUCAUGUAAUAAGUGUAAGAAUCUUAUAUCUUUUCCUUUGAUAUAUUUUUUUUCUUGAGAAAACUGUUGUAGUCAUGUUGUUUCCAUGGGUAGAGUUGAUUUAGUUCUUCCAAAAAAUGCUACUGAUGACCUUUGUUUUAUACUUUCUCUUUUUUUGCAUGUGUUUAGGUAGAACAGUGGUUUGGCUGCAGGCUAAGAAGUCUAACUACACUAAAAGAAUAUGAUUUAAUUUAUUAAACAAAACUUCAAGUUCAAGAAAAGUAUUUCACUGCCCCCAAUGCUUUGGACACGUACUGGUAGUUUUGUACGUGUCCUCAACUUUUUUUUGGAGCACAAAAUUCGAGUCCCAUGGAGACUCAAACAUUCCUUUCCCACAUCCCGAGCACGCUAAAUUUAUCAGACUGACAACGGGGACAUAUACAAGAGUGAAAUGUUUAGAGCACGCUAAGUUCGAGUGAAAGAGAUUAAUUUACGGAAACUAAAGCCAAGGGUUCAGAAAAAAGUGCAAAGAGAAUAAAGGACAACACUUUUGUGAAGCGACAUUGUUGUAUUGAUAGCACAAUGUCAUAUUCAUACAGAGAUCUAGAAUAUUAUUUACAGCUGGUAAGGGCUAAGAAUUGAUGUAGCUAGAAUACAAAGACGAUAAGGUAUGUUGUGCACUAUUGUUUUAUUCUACGAUCAAUCUUGACCCUUGAUGCUUGGCUCUCAAUCUUGUCCACUGAUCUUCUUUGAUUUUGGACACUUCAAGACCUUUCAGUAUCAUGCCUUGUUAUUGGUGUCUUCCGUGCUGUGGAAUUCAUGUACAAGCUUUCCCGCCGACUUGCCAAGUAUUCGUUCAUUGAUGCAUUUUUAUCAAACAGCUGGGCUACUUAUACCAAACACCGCCUGGUUUAACUCCCCUUCUCUAGCUCAACUAUCUAGGAAGACAAUUAAUUGAGAUAUGAAUCAGAAAAUUAAAUUUUAAAAAUUAUAUUCGGACUCUACAUUUUGUAAUGAACAUUGGUUUGAAUUGUUAUACAUUUAUGCGUACAUAAUUAAUAACCGAUUCUCAAGUGCGGACAUUCAAGAGCACUGCUUAAAGACCAAAUAUUUUGAUUUACUAUUUUUUGACUUACAAUUUUCUUUUAAGUUUUGAUGACGUCCGCAUUUUAAAAUCCUGUGGAACAAAGGCCUGAGGUGCAUAUAAAAUUCUUUUAUAUAAAAUUUGGGGUUCAAUAAAUUAUCGGGAGCCAUACCGAAAGAAAUCGGCAACUUUAUUAUGCUUCGAACGAUAUCUCUCAGAAAUAAUAAACUUCGCGGUAUAAAUGUUUAUAAUAUAUACUUUGUAAAUGCUCUUAUUAAUCAUUCUUAAACUUUCUUAGAGACUUUUGUCUAAAUAAAUUUCGUAAGAGAGUUUUUUGCAUCUCUGUUAAUUUUGCAGAUGAGAUACCUCACGAAAUUGGGUAUCUUCCAAAUCUAGAGAAUUUGGCGCUUGGAUUCAACAACCUGGUAGGUGUUGCACCUGCUGCAAUCUUCAACAUGUCAACAGUGAAAGAAAUUUACCGGUUAGAUAACUCUCUCUCGGGAAGUUUUUCAUCAGGAAUAGACCUUUCACUUCCUGAACAGAUUUUCUGGAACCAUUCCUAGUUUCAUCACCAACGCAUCUAAACUUGUAUAUCUAGAUAUGGGAACAAACUCUUUUUCGGGCAUUAUUCCGAACACAAUUGGUAAUAAUCUAAGAAACCUUGACUGGCUCGACUUAACAUACAAUUGCUUGACAUCUUUAACUCUAGAAUUGAGCUUUCUUUCCUCUUUGACAAAUUGCAAGAAAUUAAGAUUCUUAGGCUUAACAGGCAAUCAACUUGACGGUGUCCUUCCAACUUCAAUAGGUAAUCUUUCUAUGUCUUUGGAAAACAUUUACAUCUCAAAUUGUAGUAUUGGCGGCAGCAUUCCUCAACUAAUCAGCUAUUUAAGCAAUUUGUUGCUCUUAGAUUUAGAAGGCAAUAAGUUGACUGGAUCAAUUCCAGUCACAUUCGGCCGGUUGCAGAAACUCCAAGGUUUAUAUCUUCCAUUUAACAAGUUAGCAGGAUCAAUCCCAGACCAGCUUUGCCAUUUAGCUAGACUGGAUACAUUAGGUUUGGCUGGUAAUAAGUUUUCUGGAUCAAUCCCUUCAUGUUUAGGUAAUCUCACUUCUCCACGGUUUCCCGACUUAGGGUCCAAUAGGCUUACAUCAGUCUUGCCCUCGACUUUUUGGAAUCUAAAAGACAUUUUGUUCUUUGACCUUUCAUCAAAUUCUUUGGAUGGUCCUCUUUCUUUAGACAUAGGAAAUUUAAAGGUUGUGAUAGGUAUAAAUUUAUCACGAAAUAACUUUUCAGGUGAUAUCCCAAGUACAAUUGGAGGUCUAAAAGACUUACAGAAUAUCUCCUUAGCAUGUAAUGGAUUGGAAGGUCUAAUUCCUGAAUCAUUUGGUUACUUGACAGGUUUGGAAAUUUUAGAUUUGUCAAAUAACAAAAUCUUUGGGUUUAUUCCGAUAUCUUUCGAAAAACUCUUGUACCUCAAAAGCUAAAUUUGUCUUUUAACAAACUAGAAGAAGAGAUUCCUAGGGGAGGACCUUUUGCAAAUUUCACAGCUAAGUCAUUCAUGGGAAAUGAGAAAUUGUGUGGUUUACCAAAUCUCCAAUUCCCAAAAUGCAAGCGUCGGACGCGUUGAAAAUCAAAGAAAAAGAUGCUUCUACUUGUGAUUGUCUUGCCAUUGAGUACUGCUCUAAUAAUCGUAAUCCCUCUAGCUCUCAAAUAUAAAUCGAUAAGAGGUGGAAAGAGUAGUACUAGGUUGUUAAAUGAUGUUAUCUUGUCAUAACAAGGAACACUAAGAAGAUUUUCAUACCAAGAUCUUUUUCGUGCAACAGAUAAAUUUAGUAAAGACAAUCUAAUUGACAUAGGAAGUUUUGGUUCUGUUUAUCGAGGAAGACUUCGUGAUGGAAUUGAGGUUGCAAUAAAAGUGUUUCACCAGAAUUUGUGCAAUGGCAUUGAAGAGUUUUGAGGCUGAAUGUGAAGUGAUGAAAAAUAUUCGCCAUCGAAAUCUUGUCUAAAUAAUCAGUAGUUGUUCGAACGAAGAUUCCAAAGCAUUAGUUCUAUAAUAUAUGCCCAAUGGGAGAUUGGAGGAUUGCUUGCAUUCUACCAAUUGUUCGUUAAAUAUUUUUGGCAGGUUGAACAUAAUGAUAGAUGUUGCAUCGGCUUUGGAAUAUCUCCACUUCAAUCAUUCAACUCCUAUCAUUCAUUGCGACUUAAAGCCUAGUAAUGUAUUGUUAGAUGAAAGUAUGGUUGCUCAUUUAGUGAUUUUGGAAUUGGAAGGCUCUUAACUGGAGAUCAAUCAAUGACAUAAACAGAAACACUUGCCACAAUUGAUUAUAUGGAACCAGGUUUGCUCUGAAACAAUUUUUUUUUUUUUGAGUUUUCAUUUAGACUUUCCAAAUUAUUAUUUUUUCCAUGAUCCUUCUAUCCUAAUGUUAUUGAUUAAUUAUCUAAUGAUAAAAUCAACUUGGUUGAUAGAAUAUGGCAUAGAAGGACGAGUGUCUACAUGAAGUGAUGUUUAUAGCUAUGGAAUUAUAUUAAUAGAAAUAUUUACCAGGAAGAAACCCACAGAUGAAAUGUUUACUACAGAAUUGAGCUUGAAGCUUUGGGUUAACAACUUACUACCUGCUUCAUUGAUGGAACUUGUGGACAAAACUCUUUUAAGAAGGGAAGAAGAAGAUUUUACUAUGAAGGAGCAGAGUGUGUUAUCAAUCCUGAGUUUAGCUUUGAAGUGUGUGAUGGAAAUGCCAGAAAAAAAGAUCAAUGCAAUAGAUAUUGUAACUAAACUAUUGAAACUAAGAGACAUACUGAGCAAAGGUUAGCAAAUUUAGAUUAACCUCAUUUCUUGGCAUUGAUAUUUUAACUUGAAUCAAUAUAUACUUAAUUUGAAUCGAUGUAUGAGUGUAAGAAUAUGAUAUAUUUUCCUUUGAUUUGUUUUUUCUUGAGAGAAAUAUCGUAGCUAUCUUGUUUCAAAUUAAUUUUAUGCAUUUUUUUUCUUUUUCUAAGAUCAUGCCUAAGAGCCGUAGGAAGAUCAGCUAAAAAUUCAAAGCCGGCUAAGGCAUUGGAAGAUGGAGAGAUUGUUAGUUUUUUCCCUAUUGAAAUUAAUAUAUAUCACCUAUCCCAACUAUUUUCAUAAUGUGUGAUAACCUCCUGCCACUAUAAUUUUACCAUAUAAUCCUUAUUUUUAAAUACACUUUUAUUCAUAUUAAUAUUAAUUAAAUAAAUCAUAUGAGUUGAAAUUAAAAUUAAAAAAUUAAAUGCCAAAAAUAAGAAAUAUACGUUUUAGUGUGAUAAAAAAAAUAAUAUUAAAAUAUUUUUCUUGUACUUUUUAUUAUACAACCAAUGUUAAGUUCAAGUCCAGUUGCAAGUCCCAUUUGGUCAUGCAUUGUGUUCGUUUCGCUACUGAAUCCUUCAUAAAAUAGUUUAAGGUUUGGAAGUUGGUUGGAUAAAUAGUGCCAUAAUGGUAGUUACUUUUUUUUAUUUCGUAUGACUUUUCGCUAGUGUAUCACUCCUAGCAUAUAAUUAAUCAAUUCUUCCAGGCAUACCAUGACUUGAUUGUGAUGCUGUGGAUUAUCUAGGAAGCAUUUGUGUGUUAAUGUAUUAAACUUUUGUCAUACUGUAUGACUGGUCUUUCUCAGUUUUAUCAAACAUAUGUUCCUUCUGAAAAUAUUAAAGUGGAUUUGAUAGUUUAAGCAAUUUGUGGUUGGAUUUUGGCAGUUUGAAGUUGUAAUUCUGGUACCAAUCAAGACAAGGAAGUGGAUGCCAAGUGUCAAACAACAAGUGGGCAUCUGAAAGUCACGCCACAUUGGAUGAUCCCACAAAAAAUGAACCUUACAGAGGAACAACAUGGACAGAUUGAGCAGGAGCUAUAAAUGGAUAAAAUUUGAGCAGCUGGAGGAUCCAUAGGUGACAAGAAACAACCGGAUUAUUCGAACGGACGUACCUCUAAUGGUCUAUCUGGAAAGUCCAGCGGGUAUGAAGUCUAUACGUGAAGUGGAUGAGGAGGAAGAUGAUACUAAUUCUAGAAACUUCAAGAGCUUUCAUUCUCAUGCUUUAUGAAUUUCUUUCUUGCUUCAGAAUUCAAAUGCAAGCUUUCCCUCUCAGUAUUUCUUCAUUGAGACAUUCUUCUCGAACAGGUUUAUACUUAUGUCAAACAUCUUCUGUUAUAACUAGGAAGCCAGUAAGAUUGUUUUUCAAGUACGUUAAGCGGAAACAAUAGGCAAGGCCUUUUGUCAUUAUAUCUGCCACUUGAUUUUUUCUGCGCAAGUACUUCUUAUUCAAUUCGUUUGUUCCAAUUUUGUCCCUAAUGAAGUGGUCUUAUAUCCCCACACACUUUGCUCUUCCAUGAAAGACUAGAUUCUGUGCAAGUGCUAUUGCACUCUUGUUGUCACAUCACAACAGAGGAAUAAUUAAACAUACAUGAAUAUGCACUUUAGUAAGCAAGGAUCUUAACCAGCUGAUCAUUUCUGCUGCUACAUGAGACAGGGCUCUGUAUUAUACUUUUGUACUAGAUUUUGAGACCACCUUUUGCUUCUUGGAGCUACAUGAGAUCAGAUUUCUUGCGGGGUAAAAAAAUUCAUGAAAACCCUCAAGUAUUUAUGACAUUUAUAUAAAAAUAGAGUUUGAUUUUUCUUUCAAGUAUGUUCCUACAUUAAUAUCUACUUAAAAACUGAAAAUAUCAUUUAAAAAAAUAAUUAUUACUCCACCUUUAAAAUUCAAUAUUAAAGAGUAAUUUGUCAUUUUUAAUUAGAGUUAGAGGCUUGUUUUAUUAUAUAUAUAAAAUCAUUCUUAGGUGCAAGAACCAUCAUUUUUUUGUGCGGAUACAGUAUUAAACCAUGCAGUUUAAAAGUUGAUAAAAUGAAUGGUUUAAUAGUGUGUCCAUAUAAAAAAAAAAAACAUAAUAAGGGCAUUGGCAUUAAAGAACAUAUAUAUUAUCCCAAUUAGGGAUCCCUAAUCAUACUAAAGUCAGGGGACAAUUUAAAAAAUAAAAAAACAAAAACUUCAAUACAGUAUAUUUUGUUAUAUAGUAUAUUGAAAUAUGUAUUUUCUUUUGUCUUUUAGUUUAUCCCUAUUUUAAUAUGGUUAAAGAUUUGUAAUUAGAAACUCACUCUAAUUAUCUAUGUAUUUACUAUUUUUAAUACAUUCACACAAAUAUUUAUAUACAAUAAAUGUAUUACUUAGCCCUGCCUGAUAAAAGAUCCCGGGUCCGGCUCUGAAGGAAGAUGCAAUAUCCCCCUGCUGACGCUUCAUUAACUUUUUCCUUUCAUUUUAAACUUUCUGAAUUAUUGCCUUUCGUAAUUCUCAUAUCAUGCAUUGAGUAUUUACCUAUAUGAAAUUAAUUAUUGAUUAAUAGAGUAUGGCAUAGAAGGGCGGGUAUCUAUUAAAAGUGAUGUUUACAGCUAUGGAAUUAUGCUAAUGGAAACAUUUACCAAGAAGAAACCCACAGAUGUUGUCGCGGAAUUGAGCUUGAAGUGUUGGAUUAAUGACUUGUUACCUAUUUCAUUGAUGGAAUUGUUGUGGACAUAAAUCUGCUAAGUGGAGAGGAAAGACAUUUUUGCCGUAAAGAAGCAAUGUGUGCUGUCUAUCUUGAGUUUGGCUUUGGAGUGUACCAUGGAAUCACCCGAAUAGAGGAUCGAUGCAAAAGAUAUUGUUACUAGACUUUUGAAGAUAAGAGAUAAGUUGACUAAAAGUUAAGCAAAUUUAAAUUAACUUCUUCUCUUUUCUUUUCUUUUCUUUUCAUUGUAAUGAACUUUAAUCCAUGUUAUGAGAAGACUCUUACAGCAAGAAGUGUAAGAACAUUGAAUAUUUUCCUCAGAUAUUUUGUUGAGAAAACUAUUGUAGCCAUCUUUUUCCCAUGGGAGCUGCAAUGAGCAGACUCUUCAACAAUGUGCAAUAUUAUACAGUAUAUUCAAAGACACACUAUCACACUAAAAAAUCUUGAGUUGACUCCUUAAUUUAUUUCAUCAAUCCCCACUUUUGAGUUAAUAUUAUUUAUCUUAGGAUUGUCCUUAUUGAAAAAUAAAAAUAAUUAAAAAAAUAAAUAUUUUUUCAUUCUCUCAAGCUCUUAGUAGAUUAAAUUCUUAUCUCUCACAACUCUCUCAUCGUUUUAAUUUAUUCAUAAUUUGAAUCAAAUAUUAACUCUUGAUCAAACCCCAAAUUAAAAUAAACAAAAUAUUAGAUUAUCACACAAAAUCAAAACCAGUAUUAUCAAUAACAACAAAAAUUACCGCUCAUCCAUUAAAUUUAACAAAAACCAACAUUUAAAUUCAUCAAAUAUUGGUGGAGGUAGUGGAUUCAUGGUGAAGAAAAUAGAUGAUGGGAAUGAACUCGUUGUUGAUGAAGUGGUGGGGGUGAUAAUUAUAUACGAGGGAGGGGAAGGUAGAGACAGAAUAAAAAUAAUAUUUUUUUUGUUUCAAUAAAGAUAAUUCUACAAAAUAAUAAGAUUAAUUGAUAAGCGGGGUUGAUGAGAUAAUUUGAGGGGUUCAAAUAUCAUUACUCAUAUCCGUUUACAUGAAGCUAAUUAAAAAUAGUGAAGUAAUUAAAUACGCUAAUCAUACACAGCUGCAAUGUAUUAAAACAGCCUAAUGAGCUUAGCCUCAAAUUGACCCUCACCGUUGAUCUGCCAUUCCUAUCGUCACUACUUGCCACCUCGCAUUGUAUCAAUAUCUCUUCGUAACACAUAAACAGAAUCAAUUCUUGUACCAAAUUACCAAAUUACCACAAAACUGUUAGAGAGUCGGUGUGAUUUACUCACUGUUAAAUAAUAAAGAGAGUAAAUUUUAUUUUUAUUUUUUUUAAAUUUGAAUCUACCCGCCACUUCCAAAACAGAGAAAGCGUCGUCGUUUUACGAUGGCUCCAUCAUCAUUUCCAUCUCCUCUCGAACGCACUGUCGCUUCAGCUCUUCUCCUUCUCUCCGUCUCCGACAAACCUCCCUCUCUCACUUCUCCACUGUAAGAUCUUCAUUAUUUCACUCUUAAAACUGUUUUUGUUUCUUAUUUGUUUUUCCUUAUUGAUUUGUUUGAUGUUUGUUUAAUGCUGCUGAAGAGCAAGAGCAGCAGCCGGGACGAAGAGAGCGUGAGCUUACUGUCGAGUGGAGAUUCAAAACGGUGCGUUUCAACGGUUACUAGUGAAUAUGCCUCCUCCAGUGAGAUCCGAGCUCAUAAGCUGAGGAUCAUCGCUGUUGUGGCUCGCUGUCAUGAAGUGAAACUCAAGGUACAUAUUCUUCUGUUUGGUUUAAUAUAUAUGAUUAUGUAAAUGGUUUCGUAGUUCUUAGUUUGAAUUUGAUCUGAAGUUGUUUGUUUGAUAAUAAAAUGAAAUCACAUCUCUGUUUUCUACUUCGUAAACAGUCAUCUCUUCGGAAUCAAUUUUUUGUGUUGUUCAUGUUGAAUUUUAUCAAAAGUGAUCAUUAAAACUUGUUUUUCUCAAAUUUAUGUUUGAUCUCUCAGUUUUUUUUUUCUCGACUCUUCAAUUCAAUUUCACUGGAAAUUUACUAGAAGAUUCAAAUUCUGUUCUGCUUGGACCUGUUUCGUUUUGAAUUCUCGUAAUCAUUUGAAGGCUCAAGCAACUUAAAUUUUGUUAAAACAUUUUAAUUAGCUUCGAUAAAUUUGUAAUUCACUUGCUCAUAGAUGUGAUCUCUCCGUUUCACCUCAAUUUUGCGCAUUGUUUGCUCAUAAUCUUUGUUUUUAACUUGAUUUUAAAAAAUGAUUUUAAGAUUUUAUUUUCAAUUUUUAGCUCUUUCAUCCUGUUAUCAUUUAUUUUUCUAUAAUUAAUUUCAUUUCUCUUAGUCUGAAUAUGAAUUUAAAUUGUUUUCUUUUAGUUCUGUUCUGAGACUUUGCAAUUGGUAAAUAUUAAGAGUGGCAGCAAUUAAAGUUGAUUAAUAUGCUAGUAUAAUAUUAGUAUUGACAUUAGGCAGAGACGGAGACUUUAGUGAAUAUUAUUGCUAUAUGAGUAAUUUUUGUAUAUGAGCGUGGCGUAGGCCUACGUAGUUAAUUACAAUUUCCAAAUCUCUGCGGGUUACUGAAAAUUUAAGUGCCUUGCAUAUGACUAUUAACCCAGUUUUUCAUGCUCGCUCGAAGCAUAUUGAAUUAGAUUAUCACUUCAUUCGAGAAAAGGUUGCUGAUGGUGCCUUGGUUACGAAGUUUGUCCCUUCUUCGUUACAAAUUGCAGAUGUUUUUACUAGGGCUUUGUCAAAAGCCAUGUUCCGCAAUUUCAGAUACAAGCUUGGCGUUCAUCAAAUGUCACUUGCCAGCUUGAGGGGGUAUGUUAAGCAAGCUGACCAAGAUUACCAAAAGGAAAGUCAUCAACGGUCAAGUCAACAACGGGUUUAUCACUCCACACAACUUGCUCACGUCAAAGCUAUUUGUCAAGGAAUAUCUCCAGCACGAUUUUUGCACUUGAAUGCCAAUAUCAUGUAGGAAUAUUUCAUUCCUAUUUUAUAAAGAUAUUGUGCAAUAGUUUAGGAAGUAUUCACUUAUUUUCCUUUAAUAUUAUUAAGCCUUUUAACGGCUACUUUGUCUUUAUUUUGUAUAAAUAAAUCUGUAAAUUUCAUUAAAAAUAUAGAACAAGAAUUAUACUCUUCAUAGAAUUUCUUUCACUAAAUUCAUCAGCCUCUUGAACCCUCUCCUGAGGGCGCCUUCUGUCCUCUGUUUUCUGUUACCAUACACUAAUAGACAAAAGCAUUCAGAAUGACAACUGGGACAUAUAUAAGAGUGAAAUAAUUGAAAAAUUAUGCUUUUUUGUUUGUCAUGUUAAAAUCGUAAAGUGCGUAAGUACUAUGAAAGAGAUUAGUUUACGGAAACUGAAGCCAAGGGUUAAAAAAAAAAAGGUGCAAAGAGAAUAAAGGGCAACGCUUAUGUAAAGAGACAUAAUUGUAUUGGUAGCACAAUGUCACGUUCAUACAGGGAUCAAGCAUAUUAUUUACAGGUGGUAAGGGCUAAGAAUUGAUGUAGCUAGAAUACAAAGAUAAUAAGGUAUGUUGUGCACUAUUUAUUUAUUCUACAAUCAAUCUUGACCCUUGAUGCUUGGCUCUCAAUCUUGCCCAUUGAUCUUCUCUGAUCUCUAAAACUUCAAGACCUUUCAAUCUUAUGCCUUAUUAUUGGUGUCUUCCAUGCUGUAGAUUUCAAAUACAAGCUUUCCCGCCAACUUGCCAAGUAUUUGUCCAUUGGUGCAUUUUAUCAAACAGUUUGGAUACUUAUACCAAACGCCUUCUGUUUUAACUCCCCCUCUCAAGCUCAAGCAUCUGGGAAGACAUUAAUAAGCUUGUUUCUCAAGUAUAUGUAUCUGAAAAUUAAAUUUUAUAAAUUAUAUUCGGACUCUACAUUUUCUAAGGAACAUUGGUUUGGCUUAUAAGCUUAUUAUACUCAGGCUUGGUAGGAUUAUCGGUCGGUAGAUGACCGAGUGUUAGAGCUUUCGAAUUUAUGCCAAUUAAAAAAAAAAAAAAAAAGAAUCUACAUAAGUUUUCAACUGGGCUAUUACCACAAUAAACAUUUGGUAAUCAUCAAUUUCACUAUUAUUCGCUUUAUUAUGUUUGUUUCUUUCAGUAUGUUAAAAGAUUAUGUUGUGAAUUUGUUUUACAGGCCGCCCGUAAGUCUGCGCCCACCACCGGUGGUGUUAAGAAGCCUCAUCGUUACCGUCCUGGAACCGUCGCCCUUCGGUUCGUUCUCUAAUUUAAAUUUCCGUUGUAUAGCUUUAGUUGUGGGUAAUUUUGUAUAGAGAAAUUCGCAAGUACCAGAAGAGUACCGAGCUGCUUAUCAGGAAACUCCCAUUCCAGAGACUUGUUCGUGAAAUUGCUUAGGACUUCAAGGUACCUUGUUAUUGUUUUGGUUGUUAUCUUUGUUAUCUUUAAAUUGGGUUCCCAAGAUUUCUUGAUAGACGGUUAAUGGCUAUUUUGUUGCCUGUUUUGCAGACUGAUCUGCGUUUCCAGAGCCAUGCAGUGCUGGCCCUGCAGGAGGCAGCCGAGGCUUAGGGUAUUUCCAAUGUAGCACUAAACUUAACACCAAAUCACAUUUUACACCAUUUUUGGUGUAAAAUGCUUCUCCAAAUGUAACACCAAAAUGGUGUAAUGAAUAGCAUUGCACCAAAUAUGGUGCAACACUAUUCAUUUGCACCAUAUUUGGUGCUAGGAAAAAAAAUCUCAAAUAUUCUUAUUACUUUAUCUUAUUUAUAUAUAUGUCCUAUUUUAUAUAAUAUUUUAAGUUAUUAUUAUUAUUGUUAUUUUUUAAUUUUUGAAUAUUAUACUAAUAUUUUAAAUAAAAAAUAUUCAACACAAAAAUUUAUAAUAAAAAUAAAAUGCCAAUAACAUUAAUUACUAGAUUACAUAUUACAAAAUUAAAUUAACACAAAUUAAAAAAACUACUACUACUAGCAUAAAUUAGAACAAUUAUUUAGUAAUGUGGGAGAUCAUUAUUAGAUCCUCCAAUAUCAUCAAAAUAUUUUUCUAUAUUAAUGAAUGUUUAAUUUUCAUAAUGCACUUAUUAUUGUUAUUGUAUUUUUCUAUAUUAAUGUAAUGUUUAAUUUUUAUAAUGUACUAAUUUAGUUAAUUAAAUGCAAAUUUAAUAAUUUUCUAUAUUUUUUUUGUUAAUCGAUAUAAAAUUACUUAUUACUUAAUUAUCUAUAUUAAUAGUAAUAUUUAUUGUGUUAAUUGAAUUAAUUCUUGAGAAUUAAAAGAAUAAAAAGAAGAAUAUUCUUUUUGGUGUAAAUGGGUUGGAGAUGAAAUAAUAAUUUAAAGUGAAAAAUGUGUAUUUUUUGUGUUGGUGUUAUACUAAAAUGGUGUUAUGCAUUGGAGAUGGCCUUACCUCGUCGGUCUCUUUGAGGACACUAACCUCUGCGCCAUUCACGCAAAGCGUGUCACUAUUAUGCCCAAGGACAUACAGCUUGCCCAUAGGAUCCGUGGCGAGCGUGCUUAAGCGCAAUUAGAGCUGGCAAAAUGGGUCAUCGGGUCGUGUUCGUGUCGUGUCAAAUUUAGGUCGACCCAAACCCGACCCAUUUAAUAAUCGUGUCAAAAUAUUGAGACCCAACCCCGACACGGAAAAAUAAUCGGGUUACCCAAUAACCCGUUUAAUAUCUAUAUAUUAAAUAAAAGUUACAUCAAAUAUUUACACACUAUCAUACAUACAUAUGUACAUAAAUACAUACAUACAUAAUUUAUCGAUAUUAUAAAAUAUACAUAUCUACCAAUAUAUUAUACAUUUACACUAUUGAGGUUUUAAUUAUAUAUAUAUAAAAUAUUAUAUAUCAAUAUUAUAAAAUAUACAUGUCUAUUAAUUUUUACACAUUUACACUAUUGAAGCUUUAAAUGUAUGUAAAAUUUUAUAAAUAAAACACUGUUUAUAUUCACCAUUUUAAAGAAUAAAAAAAAAGAACAUCUCUAAUAUUUGAGUUUUAAUUAUAACAAUAUGUAAAUUAUUUUAAAAUAGAAAAUAUAAUCGGGUCAUUGAUCGGGUAAAUGGGUCAAGAAUUUUAACCCAAACCUGACACGGAAAAAAAUCGUGUUGACCCGGACCCGACCCAUUUAAUAAUCGUGUUAAAUUUGACGACCCAUACCCAUUUAUUUAUGUCGUGUUCGUAUCGGGUAAUCGGGUCGUGUCAAAUUUUACCAGCUCUAAGCGCAAUUGCCGCUUGCUUCAAUUGAAUGACUGGAAAGGGAAGGGGGAAGUUGUAAUGUGUUAAUUUGUAUGUGGGGUUGGUGGGGACGGCGUCGCUUUUUCUUAGACCUUUUUUUUUCUUUUUCCUCCCUUAAAAACAGUGAAAUUACUUAUACUGGUUUUUCUAUUUUACAUUUUGAAUAUUAUUAAUUAAUAUAAUUUAAGAUAACAAUCAGGGAUAAAACAAUCAUUUUUUAUUCAAGAUCAUUUUAUCAAUAUUCUGUUAAAUAUUCUCACAAUUUAACUUUAUCCUUAACAAAAAUUUAACUUUUUUUUUUUAAAACUAACGGAACCAAAUCCUAUAUAUAAAUGUAUAGUAUGCAUUAAUAAAUAAAUAAAACUUUGACGACCGGAGGGAAUGAAUAAAUAAAUAGAUAAAACUUUCGAAGCUCGUGAAUGUGCUAUUUUUGUUUUUUUUAGUAAUUGUUUAAUUGAAAAAAGAAAGCUUCGGGAUUUAUUUUUGACGGGACGGCUGAGAUUUGUUGACCUUCUAGAGAAUGAGAACAGAUUUUCAAUUUGUUGAUAAGUAUUCCUACAGUCCAGCCCAAAAGUACCGGCUCAAUGAGUUCGGUCAUGUUUGGUAACAGGUAUCCAUCACUUUCAAAAUCCGGUCCUACCAACGUAUCGGCUUUCACUGGCUGUCGUAUCAUCCGUGAAAGCAUGGGAGAGUGAGGCUACUCCAAUCUCUACUAGAGAAAUUUUAGAAUAUAUCUGUUGUAUUAUAAUUAAUUGAUGCAUGUAUGAUAUGUGUAAUUGAGUUUAAUACAAUCACCAUUUGUAUAAUAAUUUACAAAAUAAAUGCACACAUAUCAUGACAUUAUUUACUUAUUGUACGAAUAAUAAAUGCACACAUGUCAUCAUUCUUUGGUAAACAAAUUCACAAUAUAUAUUAAUCUUUGUGGAAGUUAUGUCCAAAAAAUAAAUAUUGUAAAAAAAUUUUAAUUACUAAUUUGUUGGACAUUAAUAAAAAAAUUUAAUAUAUUAACUCCUCAUGGAGUAUUAAAAACAAUUAAUAUAAAUUUUUUUGUUUCUAAUUUACUUUUUCAGUUUAAAUUGAUAAUUUAAUUUUUCUUUUUAUUAAUGUCUAAUAAAAAAGAAAUAUUAUUGUACGAGUGUAAUAUUGUAAAAACAAGUCAAAAAGAACAAAAAGUAACAAUAAGGGUGUCAAUAUUUAAUGACAAUGAUAUUUUGAGAUAUUUUUUAAAAUAUAGGGAUUAAAUAUGUAUUAAUCUCAAAAUAUAGGGAUUAAACGAGAUUUUACCAUUAUUAAUUGUAGUCAUCUUUUUAUAAAUUACAAUUGGAGGAAGUUGGUUAAUGUUGUUGACACGCACGCACACACGCACACACGCACACAUAAAGAUUUAUUGGAAGUGCUUAUGCCGACUCGAAGUUGUGGGAAUUAAUGCAUGUAUUGAUUUAUUGGGAGUGUUUAAAUGAUUUUGUGAUUUACUUGAUUGAUUGAAUAUUGUUUGAUUGCUUCAUAUCCAUUCUACAAAGUUUAUUUCUUUGUGAAAUUUCAACGACAUAUUUUUUUUAAAAAAAAAUAAUAAGGGUGUUAUAAAUAAUUUUAAAAAAUAUAUGGACUAAUUAGAACUAAUUACUAGGUAAUUAACUUGAUCUGUACAGGGUGAAACAACAUUUAUCCUAAUUGUAUCAUGACAAAUACUUUUCCGAUUAGAAUUAGGAAACCAUAGGUUUAUUGAAUUUUUUUUUUCCUCUGGAGAAACGGAUUAGAGAAUUAGAAAGCAAUCCUAAUGAUAUAAUUAUCAGGUUUAAAACAGUGCAUAAACAGUGAAAAGCUAAUUAGUCUGUAGAGUAAUUUGCUAAUUGUUACCUCCUCUCUAUGCGCGCUGAAUAAUUUGUUGCAUGCAAACUUUUUAUUUUAUACAAAUCAUACGUACUGUAACAUUGGAAUUGAUGUAUAAGCAAAAAUACAAGAAUAUUUAUGUCAAUAAAAAUAGUUUUUUCGUUCCUUUUUAAAUAAACACAACGCGAUGUUGCUCUGCUCUACAUUUUUGCUAUCAUUUUAUUCUUUUUUUUUUUUUUUGUGGGCUUCUUAAAGCCUCAAACUUUGAUAACCAAAACUUCAUCGACCUAUGAAAAAAUCUGCAGAUUAGUUUUCAUUAUCGGAAUAAUUGUUUGAGAAUACGAAAACAAAAUAUAAAAUAAGAAAAUAGGGGGUUAAAUUUGGGGAAAACAAAAAAAACCAAUUGGGAAUUUUUUUUCUUUAAUUUUUGUUUUACUUGAUUGAGAUUUCUCCUUAGUCCUUACAGUUUUAAGUUUGGAUGCCGUAGGGUUAGUAAUUUAGUACUUCCUUUGCAAGCUGAGUGCGAGAACGAAAAUCUUUAAAGAAAUUAAAAAAGAGUAAAAAAAAGCAUACCAAUAGGUAAUUAUAAAUAACCAUAAAUAAACAUAAACAAAAUGUUUAUGAAGUAAAUUACAAAUGCACAUAUUAUUUUUUUGUUUUAUUUCUUACUUGUCUAUUUUAUUUGCUGCUUGAUAACCCGUAAAUACUAAUCUAGUACUGCUAAUUUCAGACACAAAAUGUUUAACUCUAGGCUGUAGUUUUACUCAAAAUGAUGACCACUGGCUUCGCACCAUUUAACCAGCAUACAUUUCUACAAAUUGAACAAGGCUAUUGAUUUUCAUUAUUAUUUUUUAUUUAUUUAUAAAUUACUAUUUUAAUUUUCACUUUUUAUUGGGUUGUUUAACGGAUUAGUGAAGUUGGUGGUCGUGAUGCACUCACAAGGUACAAUUUUAUUUUAUAAUUUCAAAUUUGUAUUUUAAAAUGCAGGUACAUUAUGUAUACAUAAUUAUUGAUUUUCGUAUGUGGGUGUUUUGAAAUAUUGCUAAAAGACCAAACUUUAAUAAACUAUUUUUCAUCUUUUUUUUUUCCUUUUUUCCUAGAGUUUGAGUGAUAUCCUCAUUUUAAAUUCAUGUGGAACAAAAGCUAAUGUAUGCACAAAAUUCUUUUAUUUUUUCCUAGAAAAAUGGGUAAGAGAAGAAGAUUUUUCUCUUGAAAAAGAAAAACUAAUACGAUGCAAGCAUAGGAAAGAGGUCAGUGUUUUGGAUUAGAAUUUAGUAUUGAGCUGAAUUUUAUACUAAACUCUUUUAUGGUACUGCGAUUAAUAAACUCAUGAUUUGCUUUUGCUUUUACUUCAAGUGAAAGAAAGAGGAAACCUUUUGUUUUUUGUUUGAUUCUUGACUAUAAAAAGAUUAACCAGCGCACACAAUCUUACUGUAGUCCAGACCAUCCAGCUGUGAUGACUCUAGUUUUUUGGUUACAUUAGCUUUAGUGGAAAGGAGGGCCAAUUUAACAAAGACUAUAUUUGGUGGCUUACUAUAAUGCUUAUUCUCAGGGAAUCUAAUGUUAUAAGAUGAUUUAAUGAUCUUCUAUGAUUGUGAGUAGUAUAGUAUAAUUGAAAAGAGCCUGGGCUCCUAUGAUGAAUAUAUAAUAGUAACACAGUACUGUGAUUGAAAAAAACAAAGUUACAAUAAACUCUUCAUUUAUUCAUUGUGGAGAUUGAAUGGCAAACAGAGAAUAAAAUGAAGCAGAGGAAUCUCAUUGCCAGUAAAAUUGACCCUCUUUAAUGUUAUAUGGCACAGGUGUGUGUACAGCAAGAGCAAGUUACUUGCAGUUUUUAUUGUAAAAUAUACAGGUUAUGACCAUGAUCAUUGUAAGGUUUUGAUGAUUUUAGAUGCUUUUUUAUUUUUUUAAAUUGUGACACCUUUGAUUUAUGGUAGUUUUGCAGAAGAAAAAAAUAUAUAUAAAAAUUAGGAGGGAUGAGUUAACUAACGAUUGCAAUAAUAUUUUUAUGGAAAUUCUUGGUUUUUAUGGAAAUACUCUUGCUGAAAUUCUAAUUUUGACUUUCAACUCUUGGUUUUUAUGGAAAGUAAAAUGACUUAUUUGUUAUAUUCAUACAAUCCACUCUACAUAAUGAUUUCAUUUUAAUAAAUGCUUGAUGAUCUCCACUGAAAAACUACUUCAAUUCUUUUGUUUUAUUUAACUUUUUGGUUGUUGAAAAUAGCCUUAAUUUUCAAAUAAUUGGAGAAAGAGUAAAGAACGUUUAACAAAUUUAUGUGCCAAAAAUAAAGGAGAAAUUGAAGAGAAAGGGUGCUUGCAGAAGUGGGUGCAAAGAUAAAUCAGUCCGUAAGAAUUAUUGUGGUUAUUAAGUUUUUGGCAAUAUAAAAAUUUUUCAGCAAAUAAAAAUUGAUUUUUUCCGAUUUACUAAAAAAUUAAUUAAAAACUUCGGUGAUAGCAUUUUUUAUGGGUGCAUGUACACUCCCUUUAAAAAAAAUAUAAUAAUUAAUACUUAAUAUAGUAUUAAAUACGAAAAUAUCAAUAUUUGACUACACAAAUUUAUAUCAUUAGGUCCUUAAAAUUUAAAAUUGAAGACAAAAAAUGAAAUAUAUAUAAAUUUCAUUCUCACAGGAAAGGAUCCUCUUAUAAUCUUAAAAUAUUUGAGCUUUGAAAGAUUUUUUAAAAUAAAUGUACUUUUAUUUUUGUACAAUCAAUAUUUACUUAUUUAUUAUAUUUUUAUUCAUUAACUAUCAAUCAUGUGAGUAUAUUUACUCAGAAAUAUCAUAUCAAGGAAGAAUCUUGAUCCCACGCACACACAAAUAUGUUAAUUUCUAUACGCUUCACUUACCUGUAGAAUCAAUUAUCUAAAAUGCAAGUUUGUGGCCACAAAAAAAGCCAAAGAAAGAAGAUAAUAACAAUUGACUUGUAUAUUAUACUCAUACAAUCCACUCGACAUAAUGAUAUCAUUUUAAUAAGGCAAUGGCUGAUGAUCUCCAUUGAAAAACUAAUUCAAUUUUUUUGCUUCAUUUAACUUUUUGGUUGUUGAAAAUAACCUUAAUUAUCAAAUAAUUGGAGAAAGAGUAAAGAACAUUUAACAAAUUUAUGUGCAAAAAAAAAAAGGAGAAGUUGAAGAGAAAGGGUGCUUGCAGAAGUGGGUGUCAAAGAAAAAUCUGUCCAUAAGAAUUAUUGCGGUUAUUUUUUGGCAAUAUAAAAUUUUAUAGCAAGUAAAAAUUAAUUUUUUUCCGAUUUACUUAAAAAUUAACUAAAAACUUCUCCGACAGCAUUUUUAUGGGUGCAUAUACCCACCCUUUAAAAAAUAAUAAUAAUUAAUGCUUAAUAUAGUAUUAAAUAUGAAAAUAUCAAUAUUUGACUACUCAAAUUUAUAUCAUUAGGUCCUUAAAAUUUAAAAUUGAAGAUACGAAAGGAAAUAUAUAUAAAUUUCAUUCUCAUGGAAAGGAUUCUCUUAUAAUCUUAUAAUAUUUGAGUUUUGAAAUUUUUUUGAAACAAAUGUAAUUUUAUUUGUGUACAAUCAAUAUUUACUUAUUUAUUAUAUUUUAAUUUAUUAACUAUCAAUCAUGUAAGUAUAUUUAGUCAGAAAAAUUAUAUCAAGAGAGAAUCCUAAUUUCACGCAAACACAAAUACAAGACAAAUAUGUCAAUUUCUAUACUAUUCACUUUCCUGUAGAAUCAAUUAUCUAAAAUGCAAGUUUGUGGCUAUAGAAAACUCGCCAAAGAAAGAAGAUAAUAACAAUUAUGGGAAAUGAGUUAUUGUGUGGUUUACCAAAUCUUCAAGUCCAACCAUGCAAAGUUAGCAAGCCGAGGACAGAACAUAAAUCAAGGAAAAAGAUACUUCUCAUUGUGAUUGUUUUGCCAUUGAGUAUUGCUCUAACGAUAGCAAUCACUCUAGCUCUCAAAUAUAAGCUGAACGAAUGUGGAAAAAGAAGCACAGUGUUAUCAAAUGAUUGUAUCUUGUCAUCACAGGCAACACUAAGAAGGUUUUCAUACUUAGAACUUUUACAAGCAACAGAUAAUUUUACUGAAAACAACAUAAUUGGCAGAGGAGGUUUUGGUUCCGUUUAUGGAGCAAGACUUGAAGAUGGGAUGAAGAUUGCAAUAAAAGUGUUUCACCAGCAAUGUGCAAGCGCAUUGAAGAGUUUUGAGGCUGAAUGUGAAGUGUGAAAAAAUAUUCGCCAUCGAAACCUGAUCAAAGUUAUCAGCAGUUGCUCGAACGAUGAUUUCAAAGCAUUAGUCCUAGAAUACAUGUCCAACGGGAGCUUGGGGGAUUGGCUGCAUUCUAGCAAUUACGUGCUGAAUAUAUUUCAGAGGUUGAACAUAAUGAUUGACGUUGCAUCAGCUUUAGAAUAUCUCCACUUCGAUCAUUUACCUCCUAUUAUUCAUUGUGACUUAAAACCUAGUAAUGUAUUGUUGGAUGAAAAUAUGGUUGCUCAUUUGAGUGAUUUUGGCAUAGCAAAGCUUUUAAGUGGAGAAGAUGAGUCUACGAUGCGAACAAAAACCCUUGCCACUAUAGGUUAUAUGGCACCAGGUUUGCUUUAAACAACUUUUUUUUUAGUUCAUUUUAAAUUUUGCAACUUAUUGAUUUUUACGAUCCUCACAUCAAAAUUUUAUUGAUUAUUUAUCUAAUUGUGAAAUUAAUUUGAUUUAUAGAGUACGGCAUAGAAGGAGAAGUAUCUACAAAAAGUGAUGUUUACAGCUAUGGGAUUAUGUUGAUGGAAACUUUUACCAAGAAAAAACCCACAGAUGAAAUUUUUGUCGGAGAAUUGAGCUUAAAGCGUUGGGUUAAUGACUUGCUUCCUACUUCAUUAGUGGAAGUUGUGGACAAAACUCUGCUAAGUGGAGAGGAAAAACAUUUUUCCGCAAAGGAGCAAUGUCUGUUGUCUAUCUUUAGUUUGGCUCUGGAGUGUACAAUAGAAUCACCGGAAAAGAGGAUUAAUGCAAAAGAUAUUGUUACCAGGUUACUCAAGAUAAGAGACACAUUGAGUAAAAGGAUCAGAAAUUUAAGUUAAUUUCGUUUGCUUUCAUUGAUAGUUAAUCUGAAUUCAUGUAAUAAGUGUAGGAAUCUUAUAUCUUUUCCUUUCAUAUAUUUUUUUUUCUUGAGAAAACUGUUGUAGUCAUCUUGUUUCCAUGGGCAGAGUUGAUUUACUUCUUCCAAGAAAUGCUACUGAUGACCUUUGUUUUAUGGCAAUCCCUAUCUUACGUGCAUGUAAGAUACAUCCCCUUCACAUGAAUAAUGUGUGAGUCCAAUCCCUAUCUUAUAUGCAUGUAAGAUACAUCCCCCUCACAUGAACAGUGCAUGUGUGGGACCCACACACUGUUCAUAUGAGGGAGAUGUAUCUUGCAUGCAUGUAAGAUAGAGGGAUCCUUGUUUUAUACUUUCUCUUUUUUUUGCAUGUGGUUAGGUAGAACAGUGGUUUGGCUGCAGGCUAAGAAGUCUAACUACACUAAAAGAAUAUGAUUUAAUUUAUUAAACAAAACUUCAAGUUCAAGAAAAGUAUUUCACUGCCCCCAAUGCUUUGGACACCUACUGGUAGGUUUGUACGUGUCCUCAACUUUUUUUUAGAGCACAAACUUCGAGUCCCAUGGAGAUUCAAACAUUCCUUUCUCGCAUCCCGAGCACUAAAUGUUUGGAAAUUGGUGGGUGAAGCAGAACCGCAGCUAAUAUGAAAUUGGAAGAAAAUAAAGAACAAGCACAAAAAGAGAAUACCAGAAUUACGUGGUUCGGCUUUUAGCCUACGUCCACGGGUGAAAACAGAAGGAAAUAUUUUACUAGUAAAAAGAAGUUACAAGUAUUGUAGUAUUUUAGCUCACUUCCCAAAAUCCCAAUGCACCCAAACUCUCAAAACACCAAAACAAGAGCUUAUAAUUUCAAGCUCUCUAAACUCUCUCUAAAUACAAGAAAACUCUUCUCAAAAUUGGAUAAGCAAAUGAGGGAAUGAGCCCCUCUAUUUAUAGACAAAAUCUUGGCUACAAUUCACUUUUUUUUUAAAAUUAUUUAUUAUUGUUCAAAAUUUCAACAUUCAAAGUUUGAUAUUCAAACUUUGAAUAUCUAGAAGUUUGAAUUUGAUAUUCAAAGUUCGAACAUCAAGACACCCAAUCUUGACAUUCUCCCACUUGGAGAUUUGAUUGAGAACCAAACAAUCUCCACACCAUUCUUUCUGCUUUGCCAUUGCCAUGUUGCUUACGUUUCUGCUAGGCCAUACGAGGAUCUAUUCCAGACAAACUUGUCAGUAUUGAUUGGCUUGGUCAAAACAUCUGCUAGGUUCUCCUUCGUAUGGAUUUUCUGUAAAUCCACACUUCCGUCUUCUACUACUUCUCGAACGAAGUGAUGUACUCCUAUGUGCUUUGUCCUGGAAUGAAAGGCUGGAUUCCUUACAAUGUGCAAGGCACUCUGACUGUCACAAAACACAGAAAUUUUCUCUUGUUUGUGCCCGAGCUCCUCCAAUAAUCUUUGUAUCCAAAUAGCUUCCUUGCAAGCUUGUGUAGCUGCCAUAUAUUCUGCUUCUGUUGUAGAUAAAGCCACAACAGUCUGUAGUUUCGAAACCCAGCUUACAGCUGCUCCCGCAAGUGUAAACACAUAACCAGUAGUGGAUUUCCUUUUAUCAAGGUCUCCUACAAAAUUUGAAUCCACAUAGCCCCUGACAGUAAACUCUGAUCCUCCAUAACAUAAUACAACAUCUGAGGUUCCUCUGAUGUAUCUCAGAAUCCUCUUCACAGCUAUCCAAUGCUCUCUACCAGGAUUCGCCAUGUAUCGACUGACUGCUCCCAUUGCUUAUGCAAUGUCUGGUCUAGUACAUAUCAUAGUGAACAUCAAACUUCCCACUGCUGAUGUAUACGGUACUCGAGACAUCUCCUUCCUCUCUGCUUCAUUGCUAGGACACAUACUUGAGGAUAAUUUGAAAUUAACAGGAAGUGGGGUAGAAAUUGACUUACAAUCUUGCAUGUUGAAGCGCCGCAAAAUUUUCUUCAAGUAAUUCCUCUGCGAAAGCCAAAUCUUCCUGUUAUUUCUGUCUCGGUGAAUUUGCAUCCCUAGAAUCUCGUUUGCUGGUCCCAAGUCCUUCAUUUCAAACUCCCUAGCCAACUGUGCCUUCAAUUCUUGGAUUCGAUCUUUGUUGAGACCUGCUACCAACAUGUCAUCCACAUACAACAGCAAAAUAAUGAAAUCAUUAUCUUCAAACCUCUUGUAAUAUGCACAAUGGUUUGAACUGAGUCUGUUGUAUCCAAGGCUCAUAAUGAAGGAAUCAAAUCUCUUAUACCAACACAUCGACGCCUGUUUGAGACCGUAUAGAGAUUUAUUCAACUUGCAAACCAAUUUCUCCUUUCCUGUUUCUGUAAAACUUUCUGGUUGGAGCAUAUAUAUUUCUUCUUCAAGUUCUCCAUGAAGAAAUGCAGUUUUCACAUCUAAUUGCUCUAGAUGUAAGUCAAAUGUAGCACACAUCACCAAGACUACUCUGAUUGUUGUGAGUCGAACCACCGGAGAAAAUAUCUCGUUGAAGUCAAUACCUUUUUUCUGAGCAUAUCCUUUCACCACCAAUCUCGCACGAUACUGCUCCACUUGGUUAUUGCCAUCACGUUUGAUCUUGUAGACCCAUUUGUUUCCAAUGGCUUUUCUUCCACGUGGUAGUGGUACAAGUUCUCAUGUCUUGUUCUUGUGUAGAGCUUCAAUUUCUUCCUGCAUUGCUGUCAUCCACAAAAUAACAUCUGAGCUGUUUAAAGCUUCAUGGAAAGUUGAAGGCUCUCCAUCUUCUGUUAGAAGAUAGUAUGCAACAUUGAUCUCUGUGACAUACUCCGAGUGCCACGUUGGCGGUCGUCUCUCACGAGUUGACCGACGAAUUUCUUGAGCCUCGGACUCGACUAGUUCUUGUUCCUCGUGCUCUGGUGCUGCUUCAGAAGAAUUUGAAUCUUCUGAAUUAUUUUUCACAUAUACCGGUACAGUUUCUGGCUUUUCUUUUACAGUGCUAUCAUCCUCAUCUUUCCUUUGCAAUUGAUCUUCUAUAAAAAUAACAUCUAUGCUGAUGACGAUCUUGUGGGCAGUAGGAUCCCACAGACGAUACCCUUUUACUCCAUCAGCAUAUCCCAAGAAGAUACAUCUUCUAGAUUUUGCAUCCAGUUUUGUUUUUUCUUGAGCAUUGUACAUCACGUACACAGGACAUCCAAAUGCAUGUAGGUAGGAAUAAUCAGCUGGCUUUCCAGUCCACAUCUUCAUCGCUGUCUUCAGCCCAAUUACUGUAGAUGGUGAUCGAUUUACUAUAUAACAGGCAGUUUUGGUUGCUUCUACCCAAAAUGAAUUGGGUAGACCAGCAGUCCUCAACAUAGCUCUUAUCCGUUCUGUAAGAGUUCUAUUCAUCCGCUCUGCCACUCUAUUUUGUUGAGAAGUAUAUGCCACCGUGAACUGUCUUUGAAUACCUUCUUGCUUACAAAAAGCAAAAAACUCGCUGUCUAUAUACUCUCUACCAUUAUCUGUCCUCAAGCACUUGAUCUUUUUACCAGAUUCAAGUUCUACUGCGUUUUGUAUUCUUUAAACACUGGAAAUACAUCUGACUUUUUCUUAAUUGGAUACACCCAACAUCUUCGGGAAUAAUUAUCAAUGAAAGUCACCAUGUACUUUGCACCUCCCAUGGAUAUAUCCGGUGAUUCCCAAAUAUCAGAAUGAAUCAAGUCUAUAAUGCAUUUACUUCUAGCAAUAGAUCUACUGAAUUUUAAUUUAUGCUGCUUACUUGUAACACAAUGCUCGCAAAAUGGUAAACUUACCGAUUUGAGCCCCGGAAGCAAUUUUCGCUCAGAGAGAAUCUUCAAUCCUUAUUCUAACAUGUGGCCAAGUUUGAGAUGCCACAUCAUCGUUGACUCUUCUCCAUUUGACGCGACACACGCAUCAGCCUCUUGUAGUGUUUCUCCUUUAAGCAUGAAUAAAUUAGCACCGAUCUUUUCUGCCUUCAUCAAUACAAACGCACCUUUAACGAUCUUCAUAAUUUCAUUCUCCACAUGAGUUUUGUACCCAUGACUAUCCAUUUGUCCCAAAGACAAAAGAUUUUUCUUCAGGCCGUUGACAUGUCGUACCUCCCUAAUUGUGCGAAUUGUACCAUCAAAUAUUUUUAUUUUGAUAGUACCAAUACCAGCGAUCUCCAAGGCAUGAUCAUUACCCAUAUAUACAGAUCCUCCUGAGAUAGGUUCAUAUGUGUGGAACCAUUCUCUCCGAGAGGUCAUGUGCCAGGUAGCUCCUGAGUCUAUAAGCCAGACAUCAGAUAGUCGUUUUCUGCCUUCUGAAACAGUUGUUGUUUCGCUGUAGAGAAUUUCGCCAUCAUCCGAGGUACUUACGACACAACUCUGAGCAUUUGAUGACUCAAGUUCUUUGCCCUCUCUUCUCUUCUGGUUACUCCAACACUCUUUCUUGACGUGCCCUUUCUUGCCACAAUUGUAGCAUUUAACAUUCUUCUUACUUCUAGAUUUUGAUCUACCAUGAUUUUGACUCCCAUUGGGGCCACGUUCCGUUGAUCUCCCUCUCGUCACCGAUAGCGCCUCCGCUUGCUGUGAACUUGCUUGUCUGUUUUCCUUAUUUUUCCGCCUGCUUUCCUCAUUUAAUACGAAGGCUGCAACAUCGUCGAAAACUAGACUGUCCACUGGAUUGUUGUUCGUUAAGUUGAUGAUGAGUUGAUCAUACUAAUCUGGUAGACUUUAAAGUAGAAGCUCUGCACGUUCAUUCUCCUCUAUAUUAUGACCCAACGUUGUAAGUUGUGAAAAUAGAGUCUUCAAUGUGUUGAUGUGGUCGGUCACCAUUAUAGAUUCCGCCAUUUGAAGAGUAUAGAGUUUCCUCUUCAAGAAGAUUUUGUUGUGUAGUGACUUGACCUCGUACAAUUUUGUGAGAGUAUCCCAAAUUUCCUUCGCUGUAUUUUUCUUUGCCACACUGGAUAAUACUCCGUCUGCAAGUGCCAAGUGUAGAUCAGAAAUAGCGUUGCCAUCUAUCUCGUUCCACUUGUCAUCAAUUAUCUCCAUGGGCCUUUCUCCAAUUGCUGCCAAGUAAUUAUUUUUCCUCAAUACAGCUUUCAUCUUCAUUUUCCACAACGAAAAAUUAUUUCCGUUAAAUUUCUCAAUUUCAUACUUUGCUGCCAUUUUGUUGAUAACUAUUGUACACAAACUAGUGUAUCACAUUGAAUAGUUGUGAGUAUGUGUAAAAAUGCACACCAGGAAAGUUUCCAGGAAAGACUGGAGGGGUCACAAUGGUCCCACUUAAAACUCAGACUCCUUAAGCUCUUAUCACCUUUGUGACAGAACUUUCCUAGACAUGUACAAAACCACACAGUUGCUUUACUCACACCACUAUUCCCUGCUUUGCACCGCCAAAUUCUUGGAUCGCUCCUACCGUUUUACGUGAAUAGUACUGUAUACGUGAACAGUACCGUAUACGUGAAUAGUACCCCUUACGUGAACAGUACCCGACUCUAAAAAAUAUAACAAAUAGCUCUGAUACCACUGUUAGGAAAUUGGUGGGUGAAGCAGGACCGCAGCUAAUAUGAAAUUGGAAGAAAAUAAAGAACAAGCACAAAAAGAGGAUACCAGAAAUUACGUGGUUCGGCUUUUAACCUACGUCCACGGGCAAAAAUAGAAGGAAAUAUUUUACUCAUAAAAGGAAGUUACAAGUAUUGUAGUAUUUUAGCUCACUUUCCAAAAUCCCAAUAUACCCAAACUCUCAAAACACUAAAACAAGAGCUUAUAAUUUCAAGCUCUCUAAACUCUCUCUAAAUACAAGAAAACUCUUCUCAAAAUUGGAUAACCAAAUGAGGGAAUGAGCCCCUCUAUUUAUAGCCAAAAUCUUGGCUACUAUUCACUUUUUUUUAAAAAUUAUUUAUUAUUGUUCAAAAUUUCAACAUUCAAAGUUUGAUAUUCAAAGUUUGAAUAUCUAGAAGUUUGAAUUUGAUAUUCAAAGUUUGAAUAUCAAGACACCCAAUCUUAACACUAAAUUCAUCAGACUGACAACUGGGACAUAUAGAAGAGCGAAAUAACUGGGACAUAUACAAGAGUGAAAUGUUUAGAGCACGCUAAGUUCGAGUGAAAGAGAUUAAUUUACGGAAACUAAACCCAAGAGAAUAAAGGACAACACUUAUGUGAAGCGACAUAAUUGUAUUGAUAGCACAAUGUCAAAUUCAUACAGAGAUCUAGUAUACUAUUUACAGCCGGUAAGGGCUAAGAAUUGAUGUAGCUAGAAUACAAAGACGAUAAGGUAUGUUGUGCACUAUUGUUUUAUUCUACGAUCAAUCUUGACCCUUGAUGCUUGGCUCUCAAUCUUGUCCAUUGAUCUUCUUUGAUUUUGGACACUUCAAGACCUUUCAGUAUCAUUCCUUGUUGUUGGUGUCUUCCGUGCUGUAGAAUUCAUAUACAAGCCUUCCCGCCGACUUGCCAAGUAUUCGUUCAUUGAUGCAUUUUUAUCAAACAGCUGGGCUACUUAUGCCAAACACCGCCUGGUUUAACUCCCCCUCUCUAGCUCAACUAUCUGGGAAGACAAUUAAUUGAGAUAUGAAUCAGAAAAUUAAAUUUUAAAAAUUGUAUUCGGACUCUACAUUUUGUAAUGAACAUUGGUUUGACUUGUUAUACAUUUAUGCGUACAUAAUUAAUAACCGAUUCUCAAGUGCGGACAUUCAAGAGCACUGCUUAAAGACCAAAUAUUUUGAUUUACUAUUUUUUGUCUUUCAAUUUUCUUUUAAGUUCUGAUGACGUCCGCAUUUUAAAAUCAUGUGGAACAAAGGCCUGAGGUGCAUAUAAAAUUCUUUUAUUUUUCAGAGGAAAAUGGGUGAGAGAAGAAGAUUUGGCAAAAGAAUUGCAACGGCAUUUGAAACUAGUCUUCGUCUUUUAAUUCUUUUAUAUUUGUUUUUGUUAUUGAUGUUAGCUUGGAUGUGUGCGCGUGUGACUGAAUUCAACUUCUAUUUGUUUUUGUUAUUGUUAUUAAUUUUAUUUGUUUUUGUUAAAUUGGAUCACAAAAAAGGGUGGUCCAUUAUCAAAUCAACACGGUUUAAUUAUUAUUAUUUCUAUGCUUUUUUUAUGAACAAAUAUAAAAUAAAAGGACAUAUACACCCCAAAUUUUAGUGCAAUAGUCAUCAGCAUCCCUAAAUUUUUAAAAAAAGACAUCAAGAUCAUUUUUUGAUCUUAAUACUCUUAUACGGUACCUCUAUUAUUCCUAAAAAUUGACUCUAAUGUUUUAUAAUAAAUAAAAAUAAAAAAUUAAAAUAAAUGUAAUAACAUAUAAUUUUAAAAUAAUUUCAAUAUUUAAAAAAUAUUUUUAACAUUUUACAAUCUAUUAAAUAUAUUUUAUUAUAUUAAAGUAAAUUUUAUAAUAAAUAGAAUCAUAUUAUUAAGAUAAAUGCAUUAAAAUUUAAAUUAUUUUGAAUAUCAUGUAAGAUAAUAAUUUUAACAUUACUAGUAUGUCAGAAUUUUUUUUUUUAGUUGUAGAAUGUAUUUAGUGCAAAUAUUUAUUUCAAAUCUCUACAAUAAAUAAAAGAUUAAAAUAAAUAUAAUAAUUUACAUAUCUAAAUUUAUUAAAAUAUUUUAAUAUUGUUAGUCUACCGCAUAGAUCACAAUAUUUAUAUAACAUUUGUAUUUAUUAAAAACUUUAAAAUCAAUUCUUUUGAAAAUAAUAGAGGUAAAGGGUAUAAUGGUCAAAAGGGGGACUUUGUACCCCUUUCUGAAAAUUUGAGAGUGUUGGUGAUCAUUUCUCCAAACCUUCAGGGUGUAGAUGUCCUUUUCCCAUAAAUAUAUGAGAAAAUUGUCAUACAAUAUCUGAAUUCUGAAGUAACAAGAAUCACCUUUAUGAAAUCAUAUUGCUUUCCAUGAUAGACUGUUACCAUUUUUCUAUAAUAGAUUGAAUUUAGUAAAAAAAUUGAUUAAGAUGUCUACUCAUGGAGAGUGAAAUUUAUGUUCAAAACUAAUUUCACAUUAAGUAUAUAAAUGUGUGUGUGUGUGUGUGAUUUAAUUCAUUAAGCACGUGUAACUUUAAGUUGAAGACAUGCAUUCAUCCCCUCGCCAAUGAUUCAGAAAAUAAUGCAAAAAGAAUGAAGUACAAAAUUUAUACAUAUAAAGCGACAUAAUUUUAUUGAUAUCAUAAUAUCAUACUGAAAUUGGAACUGAGAAGAGGCUCUAUUAAUUAAGUAUAUUAAAUAUCAAUUAAAAAUACAAAAUGACAAAAGAAUAGCUGCUGGUCUAGAGGUGGCUUACUACAUUCAUACAAGAUCGUUUCUUGUUCUCUAAGAUGUGGAUUAUACUAAUAAUGCUAUGCAAACUUAUCCAAAGGUCUAUUAAUUAAUUCAUUAAUCCGACGGCUCGUUAGGUUGUCCUUUCAUCCAUACAGCUGCAUGCUUGUCUUCUUAUAUGCUGAUCUUAUCCUCUAGAUCUGUUCAGGCUGAGUGAUCUCGAUCUUAUCCUCUAGAUCUUAUGCGAUCACGACCUGUUGCUUGGUGAUGUCGAAUGCCUGGCCUUUACUUCUCUGAGCCAAUUGAUCAAACAAUUUGUUCAUUUUAUCGAACACCUUCACCAACAAACAUUUGAUUUACUUUUGAUGGCUUUUAAGUGCAUUUGAUGAUUAUUUUUGCUCCAACUUCAGAUAAACCAAACGCUAGUAUAUUAGAAGAAGAAAUUAACUGGCAGCUAACCAGGCCAAAGUAGCGACUCUAUAUAAAAAAUAUAUAUAUAAAAUAAAAAAUAAAAAAUGGGACUUUAUUUAAUUAAUUGUUGGUCUAAAGCUGUUGGUAUCCGUUGGCCACGUUUCUGAAGAGUCAUCUCAAAUCGAAAUUUUUAACGAACAAAGAACUUUGCUUUUUUCCAUUGUUCACAUUGCUGCUGGCUGCCGCCCGUGAGAUAAAAGUGCUACAAUCCAAAAUGUUCCACCAUCAUUUAUUCUAAUUUUAAUUUUCCAAUGGAAAAAAUUACAUAAUUAAAAUGGCUUCUAAUAUCAUUUCCACACCUCAAUAUGUGUCACUAUCAGAAGGUUGUUUUCGUGAUUCAUGGUAAAUUUGGAUUACAGCACCUGUACUUUCUGAUGGUUCAUUAUUUAUUCUCAGGAAUCGAGUCUCCUUACAUUCACUACAACAAAUAGUUAUAUUACCGACCAUAUAUUUUUAAGGGUACCAUUUACUCUUGAUAAUAAGUACGUUUUACAAAGGUAUUACACUGUCGUCGGAUAAACGUAGAAACUAGUAACUAUUUUUCCAAGGGUAAUUUGCCCCUCGAUGGUAAUGAAUAUUUUGUCGGAAAAGUCGAAAUUACACUGAUUUUUUUAAAUGAAUUGUUUUUUAUUUUGAAAUAAUAAUCAAUAAAGAAAACCCAAAAAAAUUACUUCAGCAAACUAACUAAAGACAGCGACUACUAUUUGAAACCAUUGCCUAUUUCAAAUAUAUAAUAUUUAAGAAAAAAACUCGGUUACAAAUAAAAUCACAAAUCAAUGAAGUUUACUCAAUUCACCGGAAAAAAAAAACCCUAGAAAUUCUAUCACAAUUCCCGCCGUCAGCAACGAUCUCUCAUUCACACCGGCACCAACCUCUCAUUCAUGGGGGAACCGAUCUCUCCUUCUGAUGUCAGUAUGUCAAAAUUCCUUUUAUUCGAUUUGCAGAUACGGUCUGAAUCUUCUUAUUGAUUUUCAAUUUCAGCUUAAAAUUAGUCGAGGCAUCUUCAAUUUGCCGGCAAUUUCAGCCACGAUGAUGAUGAUUAAACCACAACCUGUGGGCUACGGCGACCAAGACGUCAAGCUUAAGGCUCAACGAUCGAUUAAAGAACCAAAUCAUCGGUAGCUAGACGAAGAAGCUCUCGUUCCUCAAGGUUGAUGUCGUUCUUGCCGUUUGCAGAAGCCGUAUCGGCCGAUAUUACAGCCUAGCAGGUUCACAUGUGGCUUCAAAGCCGUCUAAGCCAUGCUAGACGCCAGCCUAUUUCCUGAUUUGUCUCUGAUAUUUUCUCGUAGAGAUGAACAAGUGAAAUUUCAAAUCUAUUAUCUUUCUCUUUUGGUUUUAUUAUUGCAUAUUUUUUAAAUUUUUAAUCUUUUUAUUACUGAUUUGGGGAGCUUAGUGUUCAAUUUGUAUGAUCACAUAAGAGGAUCCUGUGAUAUUUAUUUAUCUGACAUUUACAUUUUAAUGUUCAUUACUGAGUAAUGAUCUAUGUUUGAGUUUUUGAUCAUCAUCUGCUAACUGAUUUUUUCUUUUAAUUUCAUGAAUUAUAUAUAUAUAUAUAAUUUCAUAGCUCUUUAGUAUAUGGCUAAGAGCAGAGCACAUCUAAUUUUGAGCCAUAUAUGAUGCCACUUGUUAUUUAUUAAUUAAUAGUAGAGUUAAUUAAAUUUAAAAAAAAGAAUUGAAAGAUAAGAAGUAACAUAGAAUUUUUUUUUUAAAAUCGAAUAUCAUUUUAUUGUAGUACAUUAGCUCUUGUUUAAUGAUUAUAUUUAGUUAAUGGAUUCAUUCAUUAGUUUGUUCAGAAAUUGGAGUUGCUAUAUUUUGAUCCAAAUGAAAAAUAAAAACUUAUAAUGAAGGAUGGAUGGGUGUCAUUUUCCCUUAUAGUUUUUAUAUUGCUUCGUAGAUGAUUGUAUUUAUUUUUUAUGCGAUCAAGCCUCAAUUCUUGUAUCUUUUAUGGCACCAUUUUAAUAGAACUUGAUCGAUACUUGCAGUUUUUCUGCCAAAACAAUUAUAGGGCGGCAUACAAAUUUUGUAGAGGUUACUUUGUAUAGCCUAAUUCAAGAUUUCUUUUUUCUUUGACUUUUGACAUGCAAUUCUUAUUUUGACCAUUAAAUGGAAAUUAAUCAUGCAUUUUCUCAGUAGUGUGAUGCUUAUUUGGCUUUUGACAUGCAAUUCUUGUAGAGAUGAUGCUUUUGGGAUUCAUUUCACUCGUACUCACUAUCAGGUGUCAAGGAAGCUCAUGUGAGCCAAAUAGUCAGCAAAGCAGAGGAUUAUAACAGCAGCAACUUACAGCUGCGAGUUGAUGAUUUGGACUGCCAGCUGGCACCUGGUGGUUAUAUAAUUUCUUGUACUCGUAACUGAUUAGUUGUAGUUUGUUAAUAAGCUGCUGCAUGAUUAGCAUGUGAGAUUAGUUUAGCUAGUAUGGUUAAUCAGUUACGUGAGUAUAUAAAGCAAAGGCAGCACAUUUCCUCUGUAAUCUUGUUGAAAGAAAUAAAAACAAAUUCUCAGAUUCUUAUCAUUUUCUCUCAAUAUUUCUUAGUCAUCAAACAAGCUGUUUUGUCACUUGGUAUCAGAGCCAAGAUAAUGGCGUCUGUUAAUCUAGUUACUUCAAAUCAGAUCCAAAAUACUCCCGCUGUUUCAACUAAUAUUUCAUUCACUUUCAAUACACCAGUGAAGCUUGAUCAAGCUAACUAUCUCAUAUGGCGAUCUCAAGUGCUUGCUUCAAUUCGUGGCAACAGACUUGAAAAGCUUAUUGAUGACUCGAUUACUCCUCCUCCAUCUCACAUUGCUCAAAGAGUUGGAGAUGACGUCAGAUCUGUGGAGAAUCCAGACUUUAUAUCUUGGAGAUCUCAGGAUCAAGUGCUGCUUGGAUGGUUACUCUCUUCAAUGAGUGAAGGAAUCAUCAGUCUAGUCUUCAAUCUGGAGACAUCACGUGAGGUUUGGAAAGCUGUUGAGGUACAAUUUGGUUCUCAAUCCAAAUCACGACUGUUACAUCUAAGAUAUAUGAUGAAUUCUACUAGAAAGGAUGAUAUGAAAAUCACAGAUUACUUCAUUAAAAUGAAAAACAUAUCUGAUAAUAUGGCUGCAGCAGGAAGUGCCUUGAGUAAUGAUGACUUAAUUUUGCAUGUGUUGUCUGGUUUAGGACCAGAUUAUAAUUCAGUAGCUACCUAUAUAACUGGUCAAGUAGGAACUGGAAAAAUGGAUCUGAAUGAAGCUUAUGCAAUGCUUUUAACUCAAGAAGUUAGGAUUGAACAACAGUCUCAUAUGCUAGCUGGUACAGAUAUGAAAAAUAACUUUGAAGCAAAUUUUGCUCAAAACAGAGGACCUAAGAAAGGAAACAUGUUCAAUGGAAAAGGUUUUGGUGGUUAUGGCUAUAAUUCUGGUUCUGGAAAUAACUAUAACUCAGGCUUUAGCAAUAAUGGUUAGUACAAAGGAAACUUUGGUACUGAGUUUGCUGGUACUGGUUUUAACAAUCAGUUCAAAGGAUACCAGUCCAGUAAUCAUGGAGGGGGAGGAGGAGGUAACUGGAAUAACAACAAUGGACCAAGUAACUUUAACAGUGGCAAACCAUCUGUGAAUCCUAAGCCACAAUGGAAUGCAUCAAAGCCUACCUGUCAAAUUUGCCUCAGGCCUGGACACACUGCAAAUAUUUGCUGGAAACUUGAAGAGUUUAUUACUUCAGGUGCUUACAAACCACCACCAAAUAGAGGACCUAAGGCAGCUUAUCUGGCUAACAUGGAUGCUCCAGUUGACAACAAUUGGUAUCUGGAUAGCGGAGCCACACAUCACCUCACAAAUGAUAUGAAUAAUGUGAAUGGUGUUGAACCUUUUGCAGGUAAUUCCAAACUUAUUGUUGGAAAUGGUGUUGGUUUGUGCAUAACACACAUAGGUUCUGUUGUUCUAAGAAUGCCUGAUGAUCUGAAUUAUUCUGAUCUUAAGCUAAACAACAUUCUACUUGUUCCAAAAAUAACCAAAAACCUGAUAAGUAUUUCCCAAUUAACCAAAGAUAAUAAUGUUGUGGCUGAAUUUACUGAUAGUUUCUGUUUUGUGAAGGACAAGGUGAAGAAUUCAGUUAUGCUACAGGGCAAAGCUGAAAAAGGUUUAUAUAGAUUGUUGUGUGUUUCCUCAACCAAGUCCUCUGCUUCACAGUCAAACCAAGGUCUUCUUACUCAUGUCGAGUCAGCUGUUUCAAAUCAGCCAAUUUCAAUGUUUUCAACUGUUGUUUCAAAAUUUCCAAAUAAAACUGCUUGCUGUUUGCAUACAGAAGCACUAUGUUGUCAAACUCCUAGUUGUAUGUUGAAUACUAUGGUAUUACAUCAGAGACUAAGGUGCUUAGUCAUGUAAUCAAUUCUUGUUCUUCCUUAAAGAAUGUCAGUGGUAAUAAAACAAUCGAUUCCUGUGAUGCUUGUAAGAUGGGAAAAAUGCAUAAACUUCAUUUUUCAAUUACUGAAACCAAAACCAAAAAUCCUUUGGAACUUCUACAUACUAAUCUAUGGGGACCUUCUCCCACACCUUCUAUCCAAGGAUACAAAUACUAUGUUAGCUUUGUGGAUGACUUCACAAGGUUCACCUGGAUUUUCCCUUUGAAAACCAAAGCUGAUACAUUUCAAGUGUUUAAAAUCUUUAAAGCUCAGGUGGAAAAACAAUUGGAUAAGCCUAUUAAAUGUCUUCAGUUAGAUUGGGGUGGGGAAUACAGAUCUUUUGUUCAUUUUCUUCAUGAAACAGGAAUACAAUUUAGACAUUCAUGCCCUUAUACACACAAUCAAAAUGGUCUUGUAGAAAGAAAGCAUAGGCACAUCACUGAGUUGGGUUUAACUUUACUUGCACAAGCUAAAAUACCCAUCAAAUUCUAGUGGGAUUCUUUUCAUACAGCCACUUACAUUAUUAACAGAUUACCAACUCCUGUUCUUUCCAUGAAAACUCCCUAUGAAUGUCUCUUUCAUUUGCUACCUGAUUAUCCUUUUCUCAAAACUUUUGGUUGUGCUUGUUUUCCAUUCUUAAGAGAUUACAAUCGUCACAAGUUUGAUUUCCAUACAUCCAAGUGUGUCUUCCUAGGAUACAGUCCAUUACACAAAGGUUACAAGUGUCUUCAUCCAUUAGGGAAAACUUAUAUAGCCAGCCAUGUUCUUUUUUAUGAAACCUCUUUUCCAUACUCUACUGAUUCACAUUUUUUGAAGUCCUUGCCACCUAAGGUGUCUGACUUCCAAUACAAUUCUCUACAGUUUUACAAUAUUUCAGUUCCUCAUAGCAAUCUAAAACCUUUUGAAGCUGCUGCAGCAGACACUGAUUCUCAUACUUCUAGUUCUAAUUACAAUAUCAUGUCACCUUCCUUCUCUACUCAUCCUGUUUCUUCUACUGAUACCAUAUCCUCACCUAUUAUUUACACCACAUCUCCUAUCACAACUCCAAACACUACAUCUUCACCCAUCAUCCAUCACCACUCUCCAGAAUUUCCUAUAACACAUCAGGUUCCUUUACACACAUCACCUUCCAGACCAUCUUUCUCCUCUGCUCAUCCUAUGAUUACCAGAGCUAAAGCUGGUAUCUUCAAACCUAAGGCAUUCUUAACAGCACAUAAUAGCUUAGAGCCUUCUAGUGUUGAUGAAGCUUUAGCUGAUCCUAAGUGGCAAGCUGCAAUGCAACUGGAAUAUGAUGCACUUAUUCAAAACAAAACCUGGAGUCUAGUUCCAAUGGAUCCAGCUUAUAAACUGGUGGGUUGUAAGUGGGUUUUCAGAACAAAGUAUAAUCCAGAUGGCUCAGUCUCUAAGUAUAAGGCUCGGUUGGUUGCUAAGGGUUUCCAUCAGACAGCUGGGGUUGACUAUUCAGAAACUUACAGUCCUAUAGUUAAGUCUUCCACUGUCAGAGUUAUACUGAGCUUAGCAGUCAUGCAAGACUGGAAUGUUAGACAAAUAGACAUCAACAAUGCCUUUCUUAAUGGGGAUCUCACUGAAGAUGUGUUCAUGCAACAGCCAGAGGGUUUUGUUUCAGGGGGAGGCUACGUCUGCAAGCUAAACAAAGCCCUUUAUGGUUUAAAACAGGCACCAAGGGCCUGGUAUGAUAAACUUAAGGGCUGUCUUACUGAUUGGAAGUUUACAAACGCUAAGGCUGAUACCUCACUGUUUAUUAGGCAUGACAUUAAAGGCAUAAUCUUUGUUUUGAUCUAUAUAGAUUAUAUUCUAGUCACAGGACCAGAUUCAGUCUUGCUGGAGGCUUUCAUCACAAACUUGAGUAAAGUAUUUGCCUUAAAAGACUUAGGUCUGGUUUCAUACUUCCUUGGUAUAGAAGUCAGCUACACAGAUCAUGGAAUGCAUCUCUCCCAAACUAAGUAUAUCAAGGAUUUGCUAGCUAAAGCAUCAAUGCAGAACUGCAAAGAGACAGAAACUUCUUUCAGCACAGGCUACAAAUUAGAAAGAACAGCUAAAGGUCUUUUGGGUGCAGAAUUUGAAAAUCCAACUCUCUACAGAAGUAUAGUUGGAGGACUUCAAUACUUGAUCUUAACCAGACCAGACAUUGCCUAUUCAGUACAUAAACUUAGCCAGUAUCUAUGUGCCCCAACUCUCCAACAUUGGUUAGCUUGUAAAAAGGUGUUGAGAUAUUUACAAGGAACUAUUACACAUGGUCUUUAUAUUCAGCAAGAGGGGACUUUGGAAACAAUUGGCUUGACAGGGUAUUCAGAUGCUGAUUGGGCGUGUGAUAUUGAUGACAGAAAAUCCAUUGGAGCUUACUGUAUUUUCCUUGGCAAUAAUCUAGUUUCCUGGUCUUCGAAAAAGCAAGCUAUUGUAGCAAAGUCUAGCACUGAAAGUGAAUACCGACCAUUGUCGGCAGCAAGUUCAGAGCUUACUUGGCUACAGUCCUUGUUUUCUGAGCUGAAGAUUAUCAAGUUGCCAACUUCUGUUCUCUGGUGUGAUAAUCAGAGUGCAGGUGAUCUAGCUAAAAAUCCAGUAUUUCACUCUAAGUCCAAACAUAUAGAGCUGGAUGUUCAUUACAUUAGAGAUAAGGUUCUGAAUAAGGAGUUAGAAGUAAGGUACAUUCUCACUGAAGAGCAAGUGGCAGAUGUUCUUACUAAGCCUCUGUCAUUUCCAAAAUUUAGUUAUUUUCGUUCCAAGCUCAAUGUGAUCAACAGACCCUUGAGCUUGAGAGGGGAUGUCAAGGAAGCUCAUGUGAGCCAAAUAGUCAGCAAAGCAGAGGAUUAUAACAGCAGCAGCUUACAGCUGCGAGUUGAUGAUUUGGACUGCCAGCUGGCACCUGGUGGUUAUAUAAUUUCUUGUACUCGUAACUGAUUAGUUGUAGUUUGUUAAUAAGCUGCUGCAUGAUUAGCAUGUGAGAUUAGUUUAGCUAGUAUGGUUAAUUAGUUACGUGAGUAUAUAAAGCAAAGGCAGCACAUUUCCUCUGUAAUCUUGUUGAAAGAAAUAAAAACAAAUUCUCAGAUUCUUAUCAUUUUCUCUCAAUAUUUCUUAGUCAUCAAACAAGCUGUUUUGUCACUUCAGGCAUAGGUAUAUUUCUAAAAUAUUUCUUCCUGCAAAGGUUGCAGACACUAUGUUGCUGUGCAAGGCUGGUGGUAUGCACGAGACAGAGGAGUAAGUACUUGCUUUGUAGAAGAUUUUAGCUCGUCUUAAGAAUUAUAUAUGAAUUAUUUUUGCUAAAAGACAUAUUCUAACUAGUUUUAUGUUUAAUUGACAAAGUGUGGAGGUUCUAAAUGGCAGUGAUCAUCAUUAUGAUAGUGUGGUUCCUUUGGAUCCUUCCAAAAAUAGUCUGAACAAUGAAUGUGGUAUAAUCUAUCUCUCACUGAUCCUUGCUGAAAUAUUUUAUUAUCAUGUAGCCUAUGAAGUUAAAUUUUAUGGUUUGAAGAAUAUUUUUUAGUUUAUUUAUUAUAAUUGAUCUGCUAUUGAACUAUUUCUCAUUAUAAAUAAUGACAAACAAUAUCUACGGCUGUUGUUACACUACAAAUCCUUUGAUUGAGAUGCAUAUUUGUAUAAAUGGUUAGGCAUUGUAAUCACUUCACUUCUCAAUCAACAUCAAUUACUGAACACAAUUAAAGGUUUGUUUAAGUUACUCAUUCAUGCGUUUCAACAUUUUAGAUUAAAAGGUUUGGUUACUGUUGAUAUAAAUGUUUCUGCUUUUGUAUCGAAUGGGUGCGGUUGUUUCAUGUUUUCUGUAAGGUUGCCAAGAAAGGGAAAGAUAUGAAAUAAAGUUUCCAGUUUUGCUUUGUUUUCAUUUUGCUUUCUAAUUAACAAAGGGGAGUGAAUUCCGUCGGCAAGUGCAAACUAAACCUAAAUUAUCAAAUUUAUUUAUUAUCAUCAGGUCCUUAAAAUUUAAAAUUUAAAUUUAAAUCUUGACGGCACUUUAUAUCAUUAGGUCCUUAAAAUUUAAAAUUGAAGACACAUAAUGAAAUAUAUAUAAAUUUCAUCCUCAUAGGAAAGGAUCCUCUAAUAAUCUUAAAAUAUUUGAGCUUUGAAAGAUUUUUUAAAACAAAUGUACUUUUAUUUUUGUACAAUCAAUAUUUACUUAUUUAUUAUAUUUUUAUUCAUUAACUAUCAAUCAUGUGAGUAUAUUUACUCAAAAAUAUCAUAUCAACGGAGCAUCUUGAUCCCACGCACACGCAAAUCUGUAAAUUUCUAUACGCUUCACUUACCUCUAGAAUCAAUUAUCUAAAAUGCAAGUUUGUGGCCACAAAAAAAGCCAAAGAAAGAAGAUAAUAACAAUUGACUUGUAUAUUAUACUCGUACAAUCCACUCGACGUAAUGAUAUCCUUUUAAUAAGGCAAUGGCUGAUGAUCUCCAUUGAAAAACUAAUUCAAUUUUUUUGCCUCAUUUAACUUUUUGGUUGUUGAAAAUAACCUUAAUUAUCAAAUAAUUGGAGAAAGAGUAAAGAACAUUUAACAAAUUUAUGUGCAAAAAAAUAAAAAAAAAGGAGAAGUUGAAGAGAAAGGGUGCUUGCAGAAGUGGGUGUCAAAGAAAAAUUGGUCCAUAAGAAUUAUUGAGGUUAUUUUUUGGCAAUAUAAAAUUUUUAUAGCAAGUAAAAAUUAAUUUUUUUUCCAAUUCACUAAAAACUUCUGCGACAGCAUUUUUUAUGGGUGCUUAUACCCUCCCUUUAAAGAAAAAAUAAUUUAAUGCUUAAGAUAGUAUUAAAUACGAAAAUAUCAAUAUCUGACUACUCAAAUUUAUAUCAUUAGGUCCUUAAAAUUUAAAAUUGAAGAUACGAAAAAAUUGAAGAUAUGAAAGGAAAUAUAUAUAAACUUCAUUCUUAUGGAAAUGAUUCUCUUAUAAUCUUAUAAUAUUUGAGUUUUGAAAAUUUUUUAAAACAAAUGUAAUUUUAUUUGUGUACAAUCAAUAUUUACUUAUUUAUUAUAUUUUAAUUUAUUUAUUAUAUUUAGUCAGAAAAAUUAUAUCAAGAGAGAAGCCUAAUUUCACGCAAACACAAAUACAAGACAAAUAUGUUAAUUUCUAUACUAUUCACUUUCCUGUAGAAUCAAUUAUCUAAAAUGCAAGUUUGUGGCUACAGAAAACUCGCCAAAGAAAGAAGUUAAUAACAAUUGAGCAUUGAUAGCAAAACUAAUGCAUCAUUUUCUUCUUGACUUGAUGAGAUGGCGCCAUUACAAAAAAACAAGUACCUUAAUUGACGGGCACUGAGUGAUGUGAAUACUACCAGCCAGUUCAUCUCUUCCAGUCUUGCUUAAUCACAAUCACAAACACCACGAGAUCGACAUUUGCAUUAUAUAUAUCUUCAGCAAUCGAAACACCUUGCAUUACCAAAUUAACCAGUAACAAACAAAGCAAUGUUUCAUGGAGAGAAACCUUAGUCUCAGUAUGAUCAUUGUGUCAUUAACCCACUGCCUGCUUCUUUGCUUGGUUGAUGCUGCAGCAGCAGCAGCAGCAAGCAGCAAUAUUACCACAGACCAACAAGCUCUUCUUGCCCUGAAAGAUCAUAUAACUUAUGAUCCGACCAACAUUUUUGCCCAUAAUUGGACCUCGAAUACCUCUGUUUGCACCUGGAUUGGCAUCACUUGUGCUGUCAAUAGCCAUAGAGUCACAGCCUUAGAUAUUUCUCAAUUCAAUCUACAAGGCACCAUCCCUCCUCAACUUGGAAACCUCUCUUCACUCACAACGCUUAAUCUUAGUCAUAACAAGCUUUCCGGAAGCGUUCCCACCUCCAUCUACACCAUGCAUACGCUAAAAUUUCUUGACUUCACUGAUAACCAGCUCUCUGGUUCAGUUUCUUCCUUCGUCUUCAACAUGUCUUCAAUAUUAGACAUUCGUUUGACCAAUAACAGACUUUCUGGUGAGCUUCCGAAAAAUAUUUGCAACUAUCGUCCUUAUUUGAAAGCCCUUUUUUUGGACAAAAACAUGUUGCAUGGCAAAAUUCCUUCUGCUUUAUCAAAGUGCAAACAACUGCAACAAUUAAAUUUGCAGUUCAAUAAUUUAUCCGGUGCAAUACCAAAAGAAAUCGGCAACUUGACCAUGCUCAAAGAGAUAGACCUCGGCUACAACAAAC
rnacentral:lncRNA from 1 species